rnacentral:lncRNA from 1 species
CUGUCCAUAAUCUUGGCCACCACGUCCUUCGAAUCCCUCAGUUUUUUUAUGCUUCUGUUAAGCUUCUCACGCUUUACUGCUACUGCCGGUGACUCCUCCAACAUCCUCUCAAUUCCCCCACCGUAAGGUCCCAUCAACUCCUUCACAAUCUCAGCUUCCAUCUCUUUGUUCACAAGGUUGAAAACAGACAGCUGCAAGUGCAAUGCCAUGGAGUCCACAAGCCUCCUCAAAACAACCUUCCAAUAGGCAAUCAUUCUCAUUUUAAGGUCAUAAGCUUGAGCUAACACAUGCGGGUACUUCCUCAGAACACCGACUUCCACUUCCCCGAUGCCUACUAUAUCUAUGAUAGAAGGUUUCUUCUCAUCAGUUAAGACUCCAUGAAUGAAUUCGUUUUGACUAGCCAUCAACUUGUUCCAUUCGGAAACAUAAUCACCAUCACAUGUAUAAUCUGUCAGCUUUUCCAUCUCUACAAGCUCCAGCAUCCACUUGAUUGAUCUCUCCUUCAUCUUGGCCAUUAGACUAUGGCCGGCACGCCUUGCUGAUAACUGCAGCUGAUGAUAGUUAUCCGUAUAAUGCAUCAACACAGAAAUAACCACCUCUUCAAUGUAGUUCCACACUUUUUCCUCAAAUGCAAUCGGAAUACUCGAAAUUUCAUUCACUUUUGCCUGCAAGAUAAUGAGGAAAGCAUUGCGUGGAAGGAAGUUCGGAAGUGAAAUACCUUUGGCCUCCUCCAAGAUCUUGAUCUCCUCCAUCAAGAAGUUGCUCUUUGCAUCAGUUUCAGCACAUCUGUGAAGUUCAUCCGAGUACUGGUUGAGCAUCUCAACCAAUCUAGCAGUGCAGUGCAUGCGAUUAUCUUCGGCGUACUCCUCAAAUUCUCCUCUCAAAAGAAUCUUCCUAAGCGAUUCCUUAGCCAAGCCAAUGAUUUGCAUAAAGGCCGUCAUUGCCUCGGCAACAGACGAAAGACUCUUUGGCAUUUUGUUCAGCAUCAUAAUGCAGAAGUUCAGCCUGUCAUUGAUCUUCUUCACUAUCUCAGGUAUAUUUCUUGCUAUGCUGUUUGCUUGAAUUUGGACCAGCUUCUGUGCUAAAACUGGAAUGCCGACAAUGGACUUGUCAAUCUUCGAAAGCAGAGGAUGGGUUUGAAAUAGUUCAUGAGCCAUCACCGCUGCCUCCUCAUAAGUUUCGUCACCAAUCCUGUUCCUUACACAGACAUAACCAAGACCAAUGUUUACAUCAUCUCCAGUGACCUUCUCAAGUAGUCCUUCCGGUGCCUUGUCCACUUUCGUAACCACAGCGAGCGUCCUCUCACCAGUUUUAUCUACACUUUGUGACAUCCGGAUUGACUCACAAGUAGUAAAAUCCACCGUAGCAGACAAUACAUUCAGAAUAAUACUUUCCUCCGGCUUAAUAUACUCCAUGAUCAUAUCUUUGAUCUGAUCAUAGAUAUUUUCAGGUUGGCCAUGGACUGGAACCCUUGUGAUUCCCGGAAGAUCAACCAUAGUCAGAUCCGGAACCCCAUUCUUCUUCACCAACAAAGUAAGUGGCAUGUUUGAAAUUCCCUUACCUCCCCCCGCAAUAGAAUUAGUCGCUUUCACAAUAUCUUUGGCGAUAUUUUCUUCAUCAGUACGAUCAACUCUGCCAUUGUACUCCAAGGAAAGUUCAGGCUGAGGACUCGAGUGGUGUUCCAGCCUCAUAAUAAGAGGCACUCUCGUGCAGAUGCCUUGGCCCCGAGGUAGGCUGAUGCCGGCCAAGGAUUCGAGCACGCUAGACUUCCCGGAUGACUGGUCUCCGACCACCACAAUCGUUGGCAGCUGAAUGCCUUCAUCCAUCACCUUCAAGCUGCGUAACUUGUCUACCGCAUCCAGAAGAGGGCGGAUCUUGUCGUUAUAGGACGACACAAUGGGUGCGCAUUUGAGAGGUACUACGUCUAGUCCUGCCUGAACCAUUGCGAGUGAGCCUUCACCGUUUAAGACUGUGUAACUCGAUUCCAUUUACCUUCGUCCUUCCGUUUCUGAAUUAUAGGAUGUCGAAACAAUGGUGAAAAUCCAGAGGGAAACCGAGAUUACUUGUCAGAGAAGAUAUCAGUCAGGAAGAAGUGAGAAAGCUGGUUUUAGUAAGUGCCUUAAGGUUAAAGGCUCCUAGUUGUAUGUAUAAUUGUUCAGCAAAACCUAUCGAAGUAAAUGACAACCAGCCGUUUCAAAGGCUCCUAGUAGUAUGUAUAAUUGUUUAGCAUUUUGAAGAUGCUACAUGAAAUGUCGUUUUUAGCCCUUUCCUUUAUCUUUUUUAUUUUUUUUCCCGCGUGUUGCUCGGCUUUGCCGUUUUGCCUUUUUUAUUCUAGGUAUUUAUUUCCUUUUUCUCUCUUGACUUCCCCUCGCACACUUCCAUGCAAUCCCUGUCGCCAUUGUGGCACAAAACACAAUAAAAAAUUAUAAAUAAAUUAGAUGCAUUCGCAAAAUAAUUAUUAAAAAUUUUGAGAAGCCCACCUGUCUUCCAUUGCUUUGCCUUUUGGUUAUUUUAUUUUUUGGUUUUGCUGUUUUUUUUGUCUUCCACGCCGAGCCUGCAAUGGUUUGUGGCAAACAACACAUAGGGGGUGGGUUCAAAAAACCGAAAACCGAAAAAAAUCGAAAAUCAAACCGAAUCGAAACCGAACCGAACAAAAAAACCGAACCGAAUUGAAAAAACCGAACCGAACCGAAUUAAUUAAAUUAAUAUUUUUUUAAAUUUUAUUUAUUUAAUUAUUUGUUUUGGGUAUUGUUUUUUAAACCCAAUUUGUAAUAUUUUUAAACCCAAUUUUAUUUGUUUUGGAUAUUAUUUUUUAAACCCAAGUUGUAAGCCCAAUGUGUUACCAAAUACUUACUACCCUUUUCUCAUUUUUCUCACACUCCAAUUUUACUUCUAAUUAUUUAUGGUUUGUUUGUUUCAUCACUAAACCAGUUGCUUUCCAUUUGUCUCUUGAUCAAUCAUGUUCUUCUUUGUUUGUCUUUUUAUUGUUUGAAUUGAAAUUAUGAGUGAUUUGGAGUAAUAAUCAUAGGGUAAUCAAAUUUACUUGUACAACUUCUCUCUCUUUGCACUCCAGUCCAUUUACUUUCAUAUCUCUGCUGAGUAAAAAUUGAGGGGGAGAGAGAGAGUUAAACAUUUUAAAUUUUAUUUUUUGUUGCUUGACUUUGUAAAAGACUGAAACUUUCACUGCAUUCUCUUAGAAAACUAAACAUACUAUUGGAUUUGAUGGUUGUUUGUGAUUUGGGUUUUACUGCUUUGUUUGCCCUUUAUUAAUAAUCAUGUAAUGUUUGAGUGAUCUAUUUUGCUCAAAAGUUUUAGGACUUUCCUUGAUAUUUUUUAAGAAACCAAACAAGGAUUAACCCUAUGUAUACUUUGUUUGUUUGCUUGAUGUGAAAAAAAAAUAUCCAAAACAAAUAAUUAAAUAAAUAAUACUGAGAAAAAGAGAAUUUAAAAUAUCAUUACUUUUUAAACCCAAUUUCUCAAGAACCAAACAAAGAUUAACCCUGUGUAUACUUUGUUUUUUUUUAAAAACCCAACCAUGAUGUAAAAAAAACCGAAACCGAACCGGAAAAAACCAAACCGAAAAAAAAAUAAACCGAACCGAAAUUUCGGUUCGGUUUCGGUUUUGGCAAAAAACUGAACCCACCCCUAACAACACGUAUAAAAAAAAUUAUUUGCCCAAAAAAAAAGAUUACAUGGACAAAACAAUUAUUAAAAAUUGAGAUAUUUGUCCCCUUUUUCUCUCCUGACUUCCCCUGCUUCCCUGCAUUCUUGCCAUGUCGCCUGUUGCAGGGAGAAGGUGAGAAUUGGUUGUGCCACGUGUUGGUGAUCAUGUUGUUUACUUUUUGGGGUUUAUAUUGGUGGAGGCACAUUCUCUGCCUUCUUAAUUUCGGUGUCCUCCUGUUUUGUGUGGUCACGGUUAAAUCAUUUCAACAUUUUAUAUUAUUUUUUAAUAGAGAUAAUAAGACAAAAAAGAAUAGUAAUAUAUAAUGUUGAUCUGACUUAACCUUGACCACACAAACAGGAGGGCACGGGAGAGCACUGAAAUUGGGAGGGCAGAAAAUCUGCCUCCUAUAUUGGUUCAUUUUAGUACCGUUUGGUACGCAGACGGGACGAAAGGGAACAAGACGGGAUGAGACGGGACGAAACAGUGGUUCCAUGUUAUAUUUGGUAUGUACAGGACAGAACGGGAAAGUUGUUCCGUUGUGGGUUUGGUAAGCGCAAGACGGAACGGAACCAAAAGAAUAAAAUGAUUAACUUACCCCUGUUUCGUCUGUUGUUUGGUACAAUAUUUAGGCUUGGUAUGGGACGGAACAAUUUCAUUAUUUUUUCACCUUCUUGCUGCUGCUUAUCUAUGAUAUAUUUUGUACACUAUACUUGGAUGUGUUCAUAUUUCAUACCGUGUAUAACAGAAAACAAGAGACAUGUAUUUGUACUUUAUGUUGCUCAUAUAAUUAAUUUAGUGGGAUAAUACGUCAAUUAAUUUUAUGUGAUUUAAAAAAAUAAUAUGGUGAGAGCAUGCCAUUGGCUUGGCACUUUGGAACAUGGCAGUGUAGCCACAAUAUGUAUAUGUGAUGAAUUACAUAUGAAAAGGUUGGUGUGGUAGAACAACCGUUGAUGCAAUGGCUAUGUUGGAAUCUUUGACACAAUCUGCUUUCAUCUCUUCAUCAUCACAUUGAAAUGCAAAUUGUGUCAAACAAUAUGUAUAUUAUAAGUUGAGAUGUGAGUCAAUUGGAUGUCUAUGGCAAUGGUUGUCAUGCAAGGAUGAAAAAUAUAGAAGUUUAAUGAUAUUAUCUUGCUAAAGCAAUAAACAUGAAAUAUCCAGAGCUUAAACAUGAAAUCCCAAAUUAAACAUUCAUCUUGACUUAAAGAAAAAAGAAAAGAAAGAUAAUGUCUUACUAAACCCCAGAAGUUGAUAUAGUUCAUUCAUAUCAUACUAAACCCCCUAAUGCUCAGAUGUCAUCCAUAAAUAUUUUAAUGAAAUCUGCCUUGUGAGAGUCAUCCAGGGUACACCAAAUACUCAACAUAUCAGUAUUUUUCACUAAUUUUUAUUGAAAUUUUCAGCACUUGAUCAUAUGGGAGACCCAUGGCCUGAACUCGAUACAAAAAAUUUAGUCUCAUAUUCAUCUAUACCUUCACAUGAAAAAAAAACACAUGAAUGAAUGGAGCAUCAACAUACGUGGGAUUCAAUUACAAGCAUAUGAUUAAAUGGUAAAACAAAGUGGAGCUUCAUAUCCUAAUUGCAAUUCUUAAAGUGGAGCAUCAACUUUGUCAUGCACUGAAAAUCUGAGUGAUACCAUAUGAGGAUUCGAGUAAUGCUAUAUGACCCAAAUGCAGUUCAGUCUACAUUAUUAAAAGAUGGCAGUCCGAACAACAAGAAUGUACCAGCUUUAACAAUGACUUCUAAGUUUUGCAUAUGCUGAAGUUAAGAAUAUUCAAGCAUCAAAUAUGGCAGUCUGAACUCAAUACACUAUAAGACCUUACAUAAAUAGGUGACUACAUUAUUAAAACAUACCAGCAGUACUGCAAUAAAUAGUGAGCCAUACUAUUAACGAUCAUUUAUGACACGCCCCGAUCCCGAUGUCCUGUAGACAUCGAGAUGGUCACGUGUUGGCCGACACCCGAGGGGUGACGUAAGCCAUUCGAUUAAAGUAAAAACCCAUAAAAUGCUCACAAGCAUGAAUAAUAUAGCUCAAACCAUAGCAAUUAAACGUAAAGCAGCAGAAACAUAAUUACAUUAAAAUAAUAUUCAACUGCCAACACAAAACAAAACAAGAUACAACAAACCCUGUCCAGAGCAUACGUCUAAUAUAGAUUACAAAAGAAAGAAUAUAAAUUGAAUAACAAAAGGAGUGGAUCCUACAAUGAGAGGACUCAAAGAUGCCAAUGCAGAAGUGUCUUAACGCCGGGAUUGUAUGCCUCGAAUCUAAGCCCUAAAGGGGGCGCAAAACAAAGGUGAGUGGACCAAUUUGAUAUACAUAUAAGAAACAAUUAUCAACAUACUAUCCCGCAGGUUUUAUGAAAACUCAUAUAUAUCAUGAUAAACAUAGGUUUAUCGAAACCUAGAAUGUCGUGCAAUAUUUCAAUUCAUAACUCGCCAUGCAAUGUCUCAAUUCAUAACUCGUCGUACAAUAUCUCAAUUCAUGAUUUGCAUAUAAUAAUCACUAGUGUCAAAUGUUCACAUAUAUCCCUCCUGGCCCUAUGCCAUCUCCCCGUCCCUGAGCAUACAGUUAGAGGAAAAUAUCGCUUCAGGCCCUAUGCCAGCUCCCCGUCCAUGUGCUAAAUAGCCAGAGGAAACACACUCCAGGCCCUAUACCAACUCCUCCGUCGCUUGGGAUGGACCGGAAUCUAUCUCUCAUCCCGUAGCGGAAAUUGGGACCACUAGGUAAUAUAGAACCAUUGCACAUACAUCUCAUAAACAUUCUCAUAAACUCAUGCUUCUCAUGUAUGCAUUUCUACUAAUAAAACAUGCAUUUUUAGAAAGGGGUCACUCACAGUACUUCGCCGUCGAAAGCCGCGCUGCUAGCGAAGAAACAGUGCCACAAUAUAUGCACUUAAGCACAUAAAGGGUUCAACACAGUCAAACUCUAUUCAGAUGAUUUAAUUUAGGAAAACAGACUUAAAAAACGGAUCUAAGACGUCGAAAUUAACCUACGAGGGAAAUUAACCUACGAGGGGUCCUGAACGAAAUCCAAAAAGUCAACUCAGAACAGUCAACGAUCAACGGGUCAAAGUCAACGGGUCGGGUCAACCGAGUUUUGGAUUGGAUUUGGAUCUGGGUAUAGGGUUUGGGUUUUUGGGUCACGGGCCAGAGGCCCUAAUUGAAGGAACCCAAAAGGGUUCCCUGGGUUUGGGUUACACGGGCCAAAGGCCCUGGUCUUCUCGGCCCAAGGCUUUAAGCCUAGGGUUUGGGUUUUAGCUGCCAAGGCCCUAAGGGCUUUUGGGUUUCGAAUUGAACGGGCCGAAGGCCCCAACUAAAAUAAAAAAAUGUAACGAGCUAGGGAACUGGGUCUGCUAGCAAUGGGCCUAAUGCCCAAAAUAAAAUGGCCCAAAGGCCUUGUGAAUUAACAAGCAAAAUAAUUAAAAUAUAAAUAAAAGAAAAUGGGCUGGGUUUGCAACGGGCCUAAGGCCUGAGGGGGUUUGGGUCGGUCCGAAGGCCUGGGUGCGCCGGGGGAAAAACCAGAGGACACCGAAGCUGCUACAGCUCUGGCUGACUACAAACGGAGGUCUAGUGCUCCAAUCUAGCUACCAAAAUGGAGUACAAGAAGAGGGGAGUACUUUGGUACCUUCAAAUCGAAUUGAAUUGACCGGAUUUGCUCAGAAAAGUCCACGGCGCUCACAGGUUCGUCGGAGAAAUGGGUGUGCUCACCCCGUGUGUCGAUCUCGACCUAAACCUCAGAAAAAUCAUGAAAGUCACUUCCAAUUUCUCAAUCAAACACAAUUUAACCCUGAGUGAGAACGAUCGGAGGCUUACCUAGCCGGAAAAAAAGAAGAUUCGCCGGAGGUUUCCUGUGUUGUUUUUCCUUCGUGCGUGCGUGCGUGUUCACGGGAGGGAUGCGAGGGAUACGGGAGAGAGAUGAGAGAUUUAGUUUCGAGAAAGACUGAGGGAAUACAGAGAGAAAGAGAGAUGAUAGGGAUAGGUGAUGUGGGAAAUGGAGGACAUAAUCAGGGUGGGCCCCUUGGGCUUACCAUUUAAGGCCCAAAACAAUAUUUUAUAAAAAGAAGGAGGGUGGGGUGUAACAAUUUAGCUUAUUAUCCCCCACUCAAGACAGGGCCAGGCCAUUAUUAUUAACAGUUUGAGGUUAAAUACAAAAAUCCUACGUAUUCGUCCGAUCAAUCUGUGGGAGAAGAAAUUUCAAGAUAGGAAGAUAAUAUCUUUCCUUGCUAUAAAAAAACUUCAUUUAUUUCUAAAAGCCAGUGGUAGAAUAACUAUCAACUUGGGGCCACAUCACACAUACACGGUACAACAUUGGUCUCUCUUUAACCUUUGUUAUAAAAACGCAUCUAAGGUCAUUAAAACAAUUCAAACAUGCUCCUUCCACUAACUGAACAACCAAAGAAUGCUGUUCUUCACUAGACAUACUGAUCAACUAUAACAAAACUCACGAUGAUAAGUAAUAGGUACGGUGAAUACAAUCAAAUAAAAUAUGUUGCAAGAUGUAGAACUUUGCAGAAAUAUUAAUGUAAAGAAAGAACAAAAAAUAUUCGAGGCAAACAAGUUACUCGUCCCUAAGAAAAACCCUCAAAUUACUUGAUUCUUCCAACAUAGAAUCCAAUCCAACAUAGGAAAAUCCUAAACAUGUAACCCAAUCCAAUCCAACAGAACCCAAAGACAUCAGAUUUAUAGAUUUUAGCACAUAAAAAAUGAAACUUGAACACUAGAAAACCAGAUAGAGAGAUACCUCUGAAUGUAGUACUGCUCAAUAGGGGGAGUGGAAUGAGAUAAACAGAGGCGGAUCUUUGGUUUCAGAUGCAGUAUUGGGUAGAUCGAAGCACUACAAAAUACAAAGAAAAAAAAAAAAAAAGCAAAUCAGAAAAGAAUACAAAGAAAUCGAAGCACUAAAAAAUACAAAGAAUUUCAGCAGAAUUAGGAACUGGGUGUUAAUGAAAUCGAAGCAAGCAAAUCAGAAAAGAAUAAUAAUGCCACUUCAAGCAACAGCAAACACCAAACCAAGAGAGAAAGUACUACAAAAUACAAAGAAAGAGAGAUCGAGAGACUACACAAUCACUAUCAGAUUGAACCUGGAACGGAGAUGCAGAGCUGAAAGUUCACAGAGAAGCUACAUGGAAAAGGAUGAGGAGGAAGGUUGCGAAGGGGAGAUGCAGGAGGAUGAAUAAGUUCACAGCGACAGAGAGAAGAGAAAUGAUAGUUAGGGUUUGUCGUAUGAUAUAGAUGGUGUAAAUAUUGAAAAAGCUAAGGGGUAUUUUUGCCUUAAAAUUUUAUGAUUUUUGUGUUCCACGUGAUGGAACAACCCGUUCCCGGGGGAGAGGGGAGGUGGCACCAAAAUUUAACCCAUUUUCUUUCCGUGGGACAGCGCGUUCCACAUAAUUUAGGGCACCAAACAUGGGACGGAACACGUCCAUCCCACUCCGUUCUGUCCCAUCCAACGUACCAAACGCACCAUUUCCGUUUCAGCUUAGUUCCCUUUUUGUUUGCACAUUUGUGCAUUGAAAAGUCGAUUAUGCCCUUUGCUGGGUGCUAUCUUCCUUAUUUCAGUUCCUCAUAGUUUAAGCGGCUGUUUCUCAGCCCACGUGUCGGUUAUCGUGAGGUUUGGUCUUCCAUCUAUAUCCACCCUGCUUUGUGAAGCUGCUGGAAAUGUCUUCCAUUUUGAGCGUUUUCUUAAUUUUUUUCGUACUUUGUGUGUGGAUGUUUGAUCUAAUUUCAUUUUUUUGUUUCAAGAAACGUUGGCCUUCGAAUUUUAAGGGUUUAUUGUACAAGCUUGCAAGCCCUUUCUGGGUGAGGUAUAUAAUUUUUGUUUUUGUUCUUAAAUCUUUUUCCAAUAGAAUUUUAAUUGUUUUUUUGGUCCUGUUUUGUUUUUGGUGUGAUGAUUAAUUAUUGGGCGGUGAAGCAUCAACACGUACACAAAAUGGGUGUAGCGGAGAUGAGGAUGCUUCGUUGGAUGUGUGGGCACACGAGAAAGGAUAAGAUUAGGAAUGAGGAUAUCCGGGGUAAAGUAGGAGUAGCCGAAAUUGAAGGAAAGAUGAGAGAAAAUCGGUUACGAUGGUUUGGACAUGUGCAAAGAAGGCCUACUGACGCUCCGAUUAGAAGAUGCGACUAUGGGACAGAGGUUCAGGGCCGAAGGGGUAGAGGAAGACCUAGGAAAACUUUGGAAGAGACCCUAAGAAAAGACUUAGAGUACUUGGAUCUAACGGAGGACAUGACACAGGACAGAACACAAUGGCGUUCUAAGAUUCAUAUAGUCGAUCCCACUCAGUGACUUGGAUUUUCCAAGUCUCCAACCGAGAAGUUUUCCUCACUCGGGAAAUUAAGGGAACACUACCUCAACCUACAUGCUCCACUCAUAAAGCUUCAACAUACAAACUUCAACAAAAGAAAAUUCAAAGAACUUAGCGAAGAAGGCUUUGGUGUAUUUAACACAAUACGUUGAAAUGAAGGAAAACUUAUUUAUUGAUAUCCCUGAUAAGUUACAAAUAUGUACAUAUACAUGAGUCAAAAUAAACAAACAAGAGGGAGCCUUCACAAAUGUUGUUUAGGAGAAGUCUUAGCAGUCGGUAGAGCCCCAGAAAGAGAAGGCACCGGACGGGGAUCAUUCGGAGCCUCAGUACUGGACAGAACCCUAGAAGGAGGAGGCAUCAGAGGUUGAUCAUUUGGAGCUUCAUUACGCGGUACAACCCCAGAAGACGAAGGCAAUAAAUGCCUUUGGAACAAACCCACAAAUCUCUGAUGAUCAAGUAAAACCUGACCAUCAGAUUCCUUCAUCUGGUCAAGCUUCCUCUUCAUGUUUGUAGCAUAGUCAUGUGCGAGCCGGUGCAACUGUUUAUUCUCAUGCUUGAGCCCUCUAAUCUCCUGUUUGAGACUCAUCACUUCAGCCGCCAAUGAUUCAACUUGGCGGGUUCGAGCAAAUAGGCGUUGGACCAUAUUAGACACAGAACCUGCACACUGAACACUGAGAGCCAGAGAAUCCUUAACAGCCAACUCAUCAGACCGUUUGGAAAGUAGUCUGUUAUCUUUGGGAGUGAGAAGGUUCCUGGCCACUACCGCAGCGGUCAUAUCAUUCUUCAUCACGGAAUCCCCAACGGUAAGAGAACCAGUAGGGGAGACGAAUGAUGGGCGUCAUAUGUUGUCUGGAGAAGGCGGGGCUGUCUCUUCAACAAGGUUCAAGUCAAAACGACGGUCGGAGGGGCCAGACAUUUUCAAAGGUGUUGAAGAGAGAAGAGGUCGGACAAAUCAAGAUCUUAGAAGUGCAAGAAUGAAGCUUCUACUGGUGGAGAUUCAAGUGUGCUUUGGAACUUAAUGCCAGCCCCUAUAAAAAUCUGCACUCGACGAAGCUUCAGAAAUCGAAGAGGCGCCUGCUCAGAAAUCGAAGAGGCGUUUGCUUUCUCAAAAGCUGGGCUGCUCAGAGACCACGAGGGUCGAUCUCAGAAAUCGAAGAGGCGUUUGCUUUCUCAAAAGCUGGGCUGCUCAAAGACCACGAAGGCCGAUCUCAGAAAUCGAAGAGGCUUGCUUUCUCAAAAGCUGGGCUGCUCAGAGACCACGAGGGCCGAUUUCAGAAAUCGAAGAGGCACAUACUUUUCCAGCCUUGUCAGCACCUGCCACACGCACACUCAGCUUUGCGGAAAUUAUGGGCAUUCUGUCGAAGAUUUCUGGUGAAGUAGAAAACACAUGAAUCGUACUGUUCAAUCACCCACUUCCCACACGCAACAGUAGCUCAUGGGUACCACAUAUAACUUUGCCAAAGUUAUCUGACAAAGUUGAGACACGUGAAGCUUGCAGCUCUCACUACAUCGCUCUGACCAAGAAGGGUAAAAGAAUAGCAAAGAAACAACACUAACAAAGUUUAGACACAUAAAUUUUGAAGGUCUAGCUACCAUAUUAUUACCCAUAAGGGUAAAGGAACAGUACCACUGCUGGAUAAUUGGAAGGUCCCGGUGUGUCAACCUCUGUACUUCGUGGCAAGGUAGACUAGCAAACAUGCCCAACCUUUACUCACAUUCAAGAAAACACUCCCAACAAGAUUGCUUGCUCCAAAAUCGAAGAGGCACCGCUUUCCGAAUCUUGAGAGCCAGACUCCCAACAUGAUUACUUUCUAAAAAAUCGAAGAGAGGGUAAAGGAACAGUAACACUGCUGGAUAAUUGGAAAGUCCCUGUGUGUCAACCUAUGUGCUUCGUGGCAAGGUAGACUAGCAAACAUGCCCAACCUUUACUCACAUUCGAGAAAACACUCACAACAAGAUUGCUUGCUCCAAAAUCGAAGAGGCAUCGCCCUCCGAAUCUCGAGAGCCAGACUCCCAACAUGAUUACUUUCUCAAAAAUUGAAGAGAGGGUAAAGGAACAGUACCACUGCUGGAUAAUUGGAAAGUCCCUGUGUGUCAACCUCUGUGCUUCGUGGCAAUGUAGACUAGCAAACAUGCCAAACCUUUACUCACAUUCGAGAAAACACUCCCAACAAGAUUGCUUGCUCCAAAAUCGAAGAGGCACCGCCCUCCGAAUCUCGAGAGCCAGACUCCCAACAUGAUUACUUUCUCAAAAAUCGAAGAGACACCGCUCUCCGAAUCUCGAGAGCCAGACCCCCAACAGGAUUGCUUUCUCAAAAAUCGAAGAGGCAUCGUUCCCCGAAUCUCGAGAGCCAGAUCCCUGACAGGAUUGCUUGUUCGAAAACCGAAGAGGCACCACUUUCCCAACUUCAAGAGCUGGAUCUCCUUGGAUAAAGCUUGUCUGUAAUCUUCACACGCAACAUCAGCUUUCCAGAGACCACAGACCACUUUUUCAAAGUGCUCCGACAGAGUUAAAACAUGUGAAGCUGGCAGCUCCCACUACCGUGCUAUGACCAAGCAGGGUAAAGGAAUAGCAUUAUUACUUGAUGUUAGUGAGACUCCUAUAUAUGUCGACCUCCAUCCCCAACGGACAGGCAGACCUGCAAAAAUGCUCAACCAUUCCUCUUAUAUGAGAGGGCACUCCCAACGAAGCCUUUCGAAAUAUUCAACUUUCUUUCCCCUCGAUAAUACCUCUGCAAACAAGCUAUACUAGAGCAAGAAUAUCUCAUAUCAUCAGGGUUAAAAGCAAGAGUAUCCCAUAUCAUGCUUUUUCCCUGUCUUUUCCUUUGGCCUUGUUCUUACCUGCAAGACAAGGAGAAAGAGAGCAAUCAGUCAGCACUUGGAAUCAAGCUUCCAACCAGGAAUUGAUUGCCUAGAACCCCUUACCUGAGUACUUACCUGGCAUUGCUCUCGAGUACUCAUCUUCAACAUCUUAUGCUUCCAGGGAAGAUACCGCAUCUGCCUAAGGAACAGAUAGGUCAAGUGAGAAGGAUACAAAGAAGCAUGUGGAGACAAGCGUAACAGCACACGUGCCGAUACAUCCACUACUCUGUCAAAAGCAAAAGUAUCCCAUAUCAGCAGGGUCGAACGUACUCUAGAUUUGAUGGACUUGUUUUGACCCUCAAAUUCUUCAGUCGGCCUUAUACUCUGGAGGAAACCAGAAAACCCUCAAGCCCAGUUCAAGAAUAAGCCUGUGGAAAGUUACUUCUUCAAAAGCAAAAGUAUCCCAUAUCAUCUCUUCUCAUUUUUCUUCUCUUUAUCCUUCCUGCUGCCUGCAAGAUAGGGAGAAUGUGAACAAUCAGCCGGAGCUCUGAUUUCUUACCUUGUCUGUCACAUCUUUUAGCAGAUCCCCUAGCCCGGCGACUUGGGGGACUCCUACUACAUGGUUUGUAUCGUGCUUGACCAAGCCUGAAACUACAAGUAAGCUUCAAGUGAAAUUGAUACAUUACCUUGUGCAUCUCCACCAGUUAAAGAUACCACCCCUGGAUGGAGGAAGAGUACUUCCAGAGAAGAUGUCACAUCUACCUAUGAGACAGAUAAGGCAAGUCAAGACGAUACCACACUCCGGUACUUAGAAGUUUUGUGAUUACGAGAUCAUUUUCCCACAAUAUUUCCUAAUGUCAUUUGUACUAAAUCAUUCACUUGUACUCACUAAAGGAGAGCUUGAACCUAUGUACUUGUGUAAACCCUUCACAAUUAAUGAGAACUCCUCUAUUCCGUGGACGUAGCCAAUCUGGGUGAACCACGUACAUCUUGUGUUUGCUUUCCUAUCUCUAUCCAUUUAUAUACUUAUCCACACUAAUGACCGGAGCAAUCUAGCGAAGAUCACAAAAAGCGACCGUUUUCGCUACCUAGGAUCUAUCUUGCAAGAGAAUGGAGAAUUAGAUGGAGAUCUCAACCAUAGAUUACAAGCUGGAUGGAUGAAGUGUAAGAGUGCAUCCGGCAUGUUGUGUGACCGUCGUAGGCCACUGAAGCUCAAGGGAAAAUUUUAUAGGACGACAAUAAGGGCAGCGAUGUUGUAUGGCACCGAAUGUUGGGCGGUGAAGCAUCAACACAUACACAAAAUGGGUGUAGCGGAGAUGAGGAUGCUUCGUGGGAUGUGUGGGCACACGAGAAAGGAUAAGAUUGGGAAUGAGGAUAUCCGAGGUAAAGUAGGAGUAGUCGAAAUUGAAGGAAAUAUGAGAGAAAAUCGGUUCCGGUGGUUUGGACAUGUGCAAAGAAGGCCUACUGACGCUCCGGUUCGAAAAUGUGACUACGGGACAGAGGUUCAGGGCCGAAGGGGUAGAGGAAGACCUAGGAAAACUUUGGAAGAGACCCUAAGAAAAGACUUGAGUACUUGGAUCUAACGGAGGACAUGACACAAAACCGAGCGCAAUGACGUUCUAGGAUUCAUAUAGCCGACCCCACUUAGUGGGAAAAGGCUUUGUUGUUGUUGUUGUUGUUGUUGUUGUGUUUAGUUUGCGGAUCUAUUUUCUAUAAAAAAAAUUGGUGAUAAUUGAUUUUGAGGUUGUGUUGUAUAUGGAUUUUUAGUGUGGGUAUAUGAUUUGGUUUUUUUAUUUUGAGGAAGCAGUGGCCAUCGUUUUUUACCGCUUAUAUAUAUAUUAUUCCAGAAGCUUGAGGUAUAAAAUCUUGAAAUUGCUCACCUUAAAUAGACAGCGGCGUGCAUAUGUAGUUUAUCAUCGAAUAAUCAACCUCUCAUCACUAAAUUAACGUUUAAGUUUGUUUUUAAUUUAGUUCACAAAUGAAUCAACCAAGUUUUCAUGCCAUAUUGAUACGAAAUUAUAAAGAAAUGUCGAUCAUAUUUUGUUUGUUUGUUUUCCUUCUUUUGAGAUCUAUUAUUCAUAUAUAUCAUAGAUGAUGAAGAAUAAAAGAAAUUAAAUGCCGCUUUGGAUGAUAAGUUGAUGUUGAUGACAAGUACUAUUGAUGAUACCCACUAUUUCUCAUCUGUUCUAAUGCUGCAGGUAUGUAUAUUAUGUAACAAGUUCUCUAUCAGUUUGUUAAUAUCCAUAACCAAUACAGGUUUUCAAACACUUACACAGGUUUGUAUUUCAGUGAAAAAAUUGUAGGAAAAACAAAAGGAGGUUGAGCCUAUCUACAUAGUGAGUCGAAAGAAAAAUUAAACUCAACAACUAGAGAAUGAGAAUGGUUUGAUGAAAAAUAGGAAAUGAACACAUAUAAGGUAAUGUCACAAGGUGAGAUUUCAGUAUGAAUUUUUCAUUGUCAUACUAAUUAAUGCUUUUAAACCAAUCGGUAUAGAUUCUAUUUUUAGUUUCUUUUGCUUGAUCAAUUUACAUUCCUUUUUUAACCAAAUGCAAGUUCCAAUAUUGCAUUGAUGACAAAUAAAUUAAUUGAGAUUGAAGCUUUCUCUGAUUGAGAAAUCUCUUUUUGUUUAAAUAGUGUUACAAUUUUGUCUUUAUUUUUUUUCCCAAGAGGUGGACUUAAAAAGGAUAAAGUAUGCAAGGGAAUGGUAGGAUCAACAUAUCAAAGGUAGACAUCGAUUUUUUCUCUCAUGUUAAACUUAUAUUGUGAUGUUUAUUAUUAUUAAAUUUUGAAAAAAAAAAAUUGCUUAUCAUAACCUUAUCACAAUACUAAAUAACAGGGAGAGAGAUGAAAAAUAGAGGUAACUAUUUGAUUGUAUGCUUACUUUGGAGAUUUUGUGUAAGAUCCCACAUACUUAUAUGUAUAUUCCCAUCUCUACCUAGCACGAGGCUUUUUGGGAGCUCACUGGCUUCGGGUUCCAUCGGAACUCCGAAGUUAAGCGAGAAGGGGGCUAGAGCACUCCCAUGAUGGGUGACCCACUGGGAAGUUGUUCGUGAGUUCCCAGAAACAAAACCGUGAGGGCCUGGUUCCCGGCCAGGGCCCCACCACAACCUGGGCCCGCUCUACCACCGUAGCACGAUAUUGUCCGUUUUGGGCCCCAACCAUGCCUUCACGGUUUUGUUUCUGGAAACUCACGAUCAACUUCCCAAUGGAUCACCCAUCAUGGGAGUGCUCUAGCCCCUUUCUCGCUUAACUUCAGAGUUCCUAUGGAAUCUGAAGCCAGUGAGCUCCUAAAAGGCCUUAUGCUAGAUAGGAAUGAGAAUAUACAUUUAAGGAUCACUCACCUGGGCGAUGUGGGAUGUCACAAUCCACCCCCUUUAGGGACCCGAUGUCCUCGUCGGCACACUUCCGGCCAGGGAUAGGCUCUGCUACCAAUUGUCACAUCCCGGCUCGGGCCCCCACCACAACCUGGGCCCGCUCCACCAUCGUAGCACGAUAUUGUCCGCUUUGGGCCCCAACCACACCUUCACGGUUUUGUUUCUGGGAACUCACGAGCAACUUCCCAGUGGGUCACCCAUCAUGUGAGUGCUCUAGCCCCCUUCUCGCUUAACUUCGAAGUUUCUACAGAACCCGAAGCCAGUGAGCUCCCAAAAGGCCUCGUGCUAGGUAGGGAUGAGAAUAUACAUUUAAGGAUCACUCAUCUGGACGAUGUGGGAUGUCACACAAUUGACUAAGAAUUUGUUAAAUCAUUUUAACAUGUAUUAUAAUAAGAUAUUUACUUUUUAUGAUACAUUUCUAAUUUUUGCAAAUUACUUGAUUUACUAUUGUUAUAUGGUUUACAGAUUUUUAUGUUAAGUGUGUCACUAUAUUGUUGUAAUAGUUAAAUUGGAUGUAAUAUGAAGUGUUGAGAUAAAACUAGGCACAACUAAUUAUCUUUCACUUCUUGAGAUACAGUCAUUGUUUGAUUUAGCCUAUAACUGAUAAAUCUUUAAUUAUAAUUGGUUUUUUUAGUUUACCUGGAUCAGAACUGAUAACCGUAUAAAAGGGCAGUAAAAAUUAAAGUCUGCCUGUUCUGAUGACAACUGAUAAAUAUACAGUUCUGCACUGUAUACUGGUUGAUGAAAAGGUGAGCAAUCAUUACUUAAUGAUCUUAAGUAAUAACUACUUAGUAUUGCUCAUUGAAAAUUUAUUAAUUGUUUCAAUGCAUAUGAUCUAACAUUUCUGCUUUCUGUAAUAAACACUAUUUAUGAUCUUUAUUUUUUUGGUCAAAAACACUAUUUGGGAUCUGUUUGUCAUCUUUAGACAUUGCUUGAUUUUGUAUUGUCAAAUGAUAUAUAUUUUCAUAAUCACUGUGUCUGUAUAGUAUAUGGAUUAUAUAUAUAUAUAUAUAUAUAUAUAUAUAUAUAUAUAUAUAAUAUUAAGUGUUCUAUUCUUUGUAUUAGAUCUUUUUAUACUUAAACAACUUUUUUUAAGUGUUAAUUAAAAUGAUUAAUUGAUAGUUACUGUUUGCCUAUGCAUAUUCUUGCGUAGUAUUUACUAUGCACAUGCAUAUUCAUGUUAUACUAUAUGUAAUGGUCACUGUUAUUCACUUAUUCACUUGAUAUUUAACAAUAUUUUUUUCUUGCAUUUUUUCCCAUGCUGAAUUGUCAAGCGACAAUCAAUAUAAACUUAUAUGAAUUUUGUUUCUUCAUUGUUAAUUUACUGAUGCUAGGGAUAAUUUAAGCUUCUACAUUCUUAACAUUUUUCAUAUUUGACUUGCAGGAUUAGUGUCAAUGUACACAUUUUUGCAACUAUUUGUUCUGUCUUUCUCCCUCACUCUGUAUAAUUUUAGUCAAAUUGAACUACUCUUUAAAACUUGAGAUUUAACUAAAGUACUUAGAACUUAGUUAAAUGAAAGUUUACUUCGGUUUGAUGACAUUUACAUGAUUAUUAGGUUCACAAUCAUUGGAUGCAUUAUCUUUUAUAUGUUUUAAUCAUAAUGUCAUAAAAUUUUCGAUCCCGCAACAACGCGCAGGUCACACUUCCCGCAGCAACGCACGGGUUAUGCUUUCCAGUAGUAACUAAAGUCUGCUUAGUAGGCCUCCAAGAAAUUGUGGUUUCACCAACAAUACCCGUUUAGGAUAUUGCCAUGCGGGGAUCAAAUAAGUACCCAGCAUCAACAUAACCAACAAAGGAAACUCGAGAACUGGGUGGAGGGGGUGAGGAAGGGACGGUUGCACUCGAAUUUGAGUAGGGAUAUGACAAGUCCAAGUCUCACAGUACCAUUAAGAUAACAUAGAAUUUAUGUAACACCUUUCAAUGUCUGCGUGUUGGCACAUGAUUGAGAUUUAUAAUGCAGGAGAUGUUAGGUCUUCUACACUGAGAUAAGUACAGCAAAGUACCAAUUGCAAUUAAGUAUGGAACCUCGGGUUCUUAAACCUCUUCAUCAUCUAUCUUUGGAUGGUAUAGGUCUCGUUGUGCAUCAAGCGUACGGAUGACCAUGAGUGUACUCAAAGGUAAUGCUUUAUCAUUAAAGCAAUGUAACACCAUCUUGGUGUAGUUUGACUAAUGGACAAGAAUGUUGGAUUGUGAACUAUCUUAGUACAUAUUUGUAGAAGUGUGGCGGGUGGCGUAAGCAUACAUAAUCAUUUAACAUGCAUGUUAGCGGAAUGUUGGAUUCCGUUUAAUUUAUGUAUUGGUUAUGUUCAGGUAUAAUAAAAUUAAGAACACAUGUAUAAACUUCUGAGUUUUAGAAUUCUAACCUUUAGAUUUCAUAGGCGGAUGCAUUCAAUAUUGUUAAGGCUCCAAAGUGUUACCCCUCUACCAGUAUCUACACGAAUAUAUCUCCAACUAGUGAAGCAAGAAGACGACAAUCUGCUAGAACUUUAUCCAUUAGGUAGGUGUUGCAACAAGGGGAUUUGGUAUGGUGUUUUGUUUUUCAAUUCUUUAAAUUGGAAAACCUAAUUCUUUUCUCUCUAAUUUCUAUUUCCGCUUUGUGAAUUCUCACACUAUGUUACAUAGAGCCCUUAGGCUUAAAAAGAGAACAAUUUCUAAUUAAGCCAAUAGGAUUACAGAUUAAUUCUCUACCACAAAUGUGUGUCGCACGCCUUGGGAAAAAUUUUGAGAAACUUUGGGGUUCACUAGUCUGUAUCACGUCACUCGCUCGUCUCAAGAAGAGAUUCUUUCACGUCACCAAUUUACCACACUACAAUUUUGAAUUUAUUAGAUGAAUAAUACAAUUUGUUUAAUAAAUGACCAACUUUACAAAUAUUUUUGUGAAGUGAUUUCACACAUUUUUUUAGCUUUUUUACAGACCCAUGUUUAAUUUUGGAUGUUGAUUCCGUUUGAUUUAUUCAUUCUGGUGGCCAUAAAUAAAGAGAGGUAUGUGAGAAACUAAAAAUGGUGCGUGAAAAUCCAUGACACUACUGAGCAUGAAUUUUAGUUAGAUGAAAAAAGACCUUACGCCUGACACAAGUGGGAGGACGUGACAUGAGUGCCUUUAUUCAAGGAUGAGGAAUGCUAAGGUGACUCUCAAAAGUAGGAAUCUCUGUCACCUCAUAGCUAGUUUAACGUCAAUUCAUUCAUGUGCCAGCAUUAUAAGACUAAUGUUAGGAAGACUACAUUUGUAGACAAAAUUUAUAAACUAAAUGACAUGGAAGCAGAUGAGUAGAUUAUUACUUAAGCGUUGAUAAAUGUGCUCAUUUCAUAUUGGUGACACGCCAUUUAGUUUGAAUUUUUUUUUCCACAAAUUUAGUCUAUCUAGCAUUACCCGCAUUAUAAGGUAUUGUGGUAAACAUAUGAGGUGACGGAGAGUUCAUAGAGAGUCUCAUUAGUAUUUCUCUUCAAGAAUUUAACCUCAUUCUCCCCACUUAAUAAUUUCACCAAAAAUGUUUUCUAAAUGCUCGCUUAUCAGGAUUAAGCCUCUGUUUGGUAUUGUUUUUUUUUCAUCAAAAGUUGCUUCACUUUAAAGUUAAGCAAUAAAAAUGUGUUUGGUAAAAAUAAAUUAUUUUGCUUAUAUUAAAAGUAAUGCAUGGCCUCCAGACAACAGCUUUUAAAAGCAGCAUGCAGGUAAAACUGCUUUAAUAAAAAGCUGAGUUGAGCCUUUAAUGAAUAUUUUUACUUCUUGUAAUACGCUCAAUAAUUUUUUCUUUUAAAAAAUAACAUUAUUUAUUCUUGUAGGCACAUUUUAUCAUUGGAGAACAAAGUGACCACCACUAUAAACCCUAACCUCUUACAUUACCAUUGCCAUGAUCACCACCAUUGUUGCCAUGACCACCACACUACAAUUGCACCACGACCACCACUAUAAACCCUAACCUCUUACACUACCAUUGCCAUGAUCACCACCACUGUUACCACCACCACACUUCAAUUGCGCCACGACCACCACAACCAUACGCACCACCACUACCAUUGCUAUUGUUACCACCAUGCCACUACCGCCACCACCACCACCAUAAAUACAACAACCGCUACCACUACUACCACAACCACCACCAUCGUUGUUAUCACCACCCCUACCACCAAUGUUGCCUCUGUAGCCCAACCACCACACCUCUUUAUUGGCACCAUGACCACGACCACGACCAUCACCACAACCCUACCAUCACAACCCCUUGCCCUUAUCAUUAUUGUCAUCGUCACCACCAACAUUGUUACGUUUAUUUUUGUCAUUAUAUACAAUUAUAAAAUAUCAAACGCUUUUACACUAUUUUUCAUAUUCACAACACUUUUAAAAAUACAGUUCAUCAAGCACUCAACUGCUUUAUUUUGUAGCAAAUUAUUCUUAAAGCACAUCAGAAGCAGUUUUUUAAAAAGCACAUCAAUCUCAAAAUGGCCGUAAUAUUAUGAGUUUUUUUAAUUGAGGUAAAUAUAUUAUGUAUUUGACCAAAACGAUUUUAAAUAAUUUGUAAUAAGAUGACGCGAAAAAAGAGCAGAAAUGCAACACAUGAAAUAAAACCAAAGCAAAGAGAUUUGAGGUUGAUUUUCAUUCCUUACAACAUUUUUAAAACAUUUCAAUUUCAUACCUUUACUUAUCAUUUUAUUUCAAUUUCAUACAUCCGUUAGAAAAUAUGUUAAGUAAACCGUUAAGUGAUGACGUGGCAAAUAUAAGGUCCCCAUUUGUGUUGAUGUGGCUGCCACAUUUGUGCCAUGUAGCUAAAAACUGAAUAAUUUUUUUUUAAAAAUAAUUAUUUAAAAAAAGUUAUAAAAAAAAAACACAGAUCCCCCUUCUUCCCCCGAAUCCCCACCCAUGCCCACCCUCCCAACCCCCAGCACCCACCCGGGCCACCCCUUCCUCCAUCCCACAUCACCAACAACCACUUACCUCCCCACUGCGCCUCCAUCUCCGACGAGAGCCUUCCUGCCGAGCUCUUCCCCCAGUACACCGGUAAAACUCGUCGGCAAAGUAGCUCCGUGUCGGAGCUUGUCGAAUCGACGUUUGUGGUUCAUUUUUCUCCAAACUGACGUCAUAGAUGAGUUCAAAGGGAAAGAGACUUUAAUGGCAAAGGGAAAGAAACUUUAAUGGCGGUGUUGGUGGUCUGAAAUUCGUCAGAGAUGGUGGUGGUCUUUAUCGACCCGAUCGAUCGAGGUUUUCUUCGAGUGAGGGAGAAUGUCGAGAGAGAAUGAGAUAGUUGGGGAAGAUAGUGGUGCGAGAGAAAUAGUGUUCGGGGUGAGAGAAAGGGUGGGGGAUGGGGAAAAGGGUGGGGGAUGGGGAAAGGGGUGGGUGAUGAAGGGUGGGGAUUCCGGGGAAGAAGGGGAUAUGUUUUUUUUCUUUUCGUUUUUUGUUUUUAACCUUUCUUUAUAUAACUAUUUUAAUAUUUUAAAUAUUUUAUUAAGUUUUUUUUACAUGUGGUACAAAUGUGGCAGCCAUGUCAGCACAAAUGGGGACACCAUAUUUGCCACGUCAUCACUUAAUGGUUUACUUAACAGAUUUUCUAACGGAGGUAUGAAAUUAAAAUAAAAUGAUAAAUAAAUGUAUGAAAUUGAAAUGUUUUAAAGAUUUUGUAAAGAAUUGAAAUCGACCUUAAACUUGAAAAGGUAAAAUGUAAUUUACCCUAUAUUUUUUGUUGGUUUAUCAUUUUCACCAAGCUUCACCUCAUCAAUACUUAAAGAAAUGUAUUAUGUUCUGAUCUAGAAACCAAGCUCCGCCUCAUCAAUACUUGAAUAAUUUGAUGCAUCAUGCAUUACUUUUGUUUCCUUUUGAAGGCCCAAACAAGAAACAAAGCAACACAAGACAAAGACAAUUACCGUUUAAUGGGUGUUUUAGAAACUCAAAAGCUUCAAUUUGUUUUGAGAAUCCAUUUGUUUGGAAUAAUGCUUGGGAGACUAAAAUUUUUAAAUUAAAUGAUGUGUCACCAAUUUUAACUUCCUCUUUUACUGUUAUACAAGCGAAAACGAGAGAGAUUUAAUAUGAGUAAAGGGAUACUUUACUUCUUGAGAUACAAGUUUAUUGUUAUAAUUUAGCAAGGUUUCUUCUAAGGAUCUUGGCUUUCUUUAUCUGUAAAAAAGUUGGGGUUUUGGUUGUUUAAUUAUUUUCUACCAGAAUUGCAAGAUAAAAAGGGAUACAAAGGAGAAGUGACAUAUGUAUAUGUAUAUAUAUAUAUAUAUAUAUAUAUAUGUUUUUUUGUCUCUUAUCAAUUAGGGUUUCUACAAUUCUUGUCGGAUUCUUUACCUAAGUUUUUAUUUGUCAGAUUAGUCACGAAAGUUCACUGUCAAAUUAAAUGAAAGGUAAUGAAAGUAGAAAACAGAAAACAAAUUAUCGGAGUUGACUGCUGGUAUGAUGAAUUAGUUGAAUAUCAUAGUGCACAAUGAACAAGACUACACAAUAAUAAAAAUAUUAUUAAAUAAACAAGAACACUGAAACGACUACAUAACACUAAGAAGCUACAUUGUGACUAACUUAUUCACGAUUGAAUAAAAAACAUGCUAUUUAUAAUAAACUAGUCCUAACUCUAAAAGGUAAUAAACCAAAACCUUAAUGCUAAUGGGCUAAACCCAGAAAACCAAAUAUUAAAGUAAACUUAAAUAUUAAUGUUUUCCAACACCUUCCGUCAAACUAAUGGCGGUAUACGACAUGAGUUUGCAAACAAGCAGUUGCGGACUGGCUCUGUUAGGCGGGCAUACAGGCAGGCUCCUCAACACGAACAGACAGGCAAGCUCUGCAACGCGGACAAACAAGCUCCGCAACCCCGCGGACAGAAAAAAGCAACAAUCCCAAAAGUGAUUCCAAAAAUCAAACCGAUAAUAUAGAUUGCAAGCUUUGUCUUGAAGCCAACAUUUCCAAAUUGAUGGUUCCAAAGUGUUGACAAAAGCACUGGUGCUAGUGUCACUGAAGCAACUGCAUAUGGCUUACACCAUCUUUCUUCACAAACAACAGGAAUAGUCAAUCUCCUAGGCAGAUAAAGCGGAGCUCAAGUAUGAAAAUCAGCGUGCGAAAAAAAGCCGAUGAUCUAAGAUUGGAGCAGCAUUUCUUGACUUCUACUACUUCAGAACUGCCUUGUGCAGCUCCUUCCUCUGCAGCACUGAGAUCUUCCUCUUCAAUGCUGAUAAGAAUUGGCACAGUCAAGUCACUCUCAUUGCUCGAAUUACGGCUCAAUUCAACGCUUUUCUUCCAAUGUGUGUGUGAGACGUAAACCACAAUCACAUAAGCAAUAUAGAGUGAAGAGAGAGCCAUUGCAGCCCACACAUCUAUUUCCUUGUGAAUCAAGAUAACACCCAAACAUACAAUGACCAAAAGGUAGAAGCAAAUAUCUCUCACAAAGUCCGCUUUGUGAACUCGAAUGCGCCUUUUGCUCAUUGAAAUGCUUAAGAUUCCAACCACAGCACAAGACACAAAGGAAGCACCCCCCAGAACUGUAUUAAGACCAAUUUCGCCAGUCCCGCCACCCAUAAACGAAACAAGACUGGAAAACACAUCAGGGGCUCCAUUGCCAAGAGAAAGCAGAGUUACCCCAGCAAUUGUGGGGGACAAUUUUAACAACCUAGAUAAACUAUCAAGUGAAGAACAUAAGUACUCAGAAGCUGUGUUCCCCAACACAUAGAACAAAACCAGAAGCCAAAGAAACAUACAGCAAUAACCCAAUUGAGGAAAAGUUCCAAAAUUGCAGUAGAAAAUGUUUAGAUAGUUUAUAUAGCCUUGGGAGACACAUGGGUUGUUGGAUUUAAGGUAAAAGCACUUUGCUUUGUAGUCAUCUAAACUAAGAAAACCCUUGCAAUCUAGUGAACCAGAAAUUCUGGAAACCCCAGAAGUGCUUAGAACCAGAAAAUCUGGAGCAUAGGAAUGUACAACCAAGAAAGCGCAUCCCACUAUCAGAAACGAGAUGUUCAGGAAAAUUAUGUAGUUUUUGUACUUUGGUAAGAAAACUAAGGUACCCAUUAGAGAAAUUCAAUCUAAUCUAAUUUUUUUUAAAGUAGAGAAAUUGAUUGAAAUUGAAUUUACCUUUAUGAUUGUGCUCCAGAGCAAUUGGAGAAGAUAAUGAAAAUCCAAAAAUGUAGGGUAGAAAUUGAGGAAAAUUACAAAAAUAUAAAGGGGUAGAAAUUGAAAUGGAUGGAGGGUUUUUUUAAUUUGGUAAAGCUGGAUGAUUAAGAGCACCUCCAGCGGGGGAGGUUGCUCGGGGGCUGUGGAUCAAACAGUAGCAAAUUGAUGGGGGGAUGAGCUCCAGCGUAUGGAAGCCCGAGCAACAGGCGAGGCCCGAGGAGCAGGCCCGUCGAGGAUUGCCAGCCCGAGAGCCCGAGGGCUGCGUCAGGCGCGUGCGUUUCACGCGCGCGUGGGCGCGAGUCGUCGGACAAAAAAACAGGGCUGGGGCCCGCGAUUUCAGUUUUGAAAAGUAACCGUUGGGGAAGCCACGUGGCUUCCCCAUGUCUGUUCGAUUGAAACGGUCAUAUUUUAUGGACCGUUGGAUUUCCAACGGUAAAAAACAUUUAAAAAUCUCAUUUAAUUUCAUCCGUUUGAUCUAAGAUCAACGGUUCACGUUAUUAGGCUUUGUAAAUUAUAUAAAAAAAAAGAAAAACUGUUUAAAAAUCUAAAAUGUUACCGUUGUGACACGUGGCACAAUCUGGAGUGUUGGAAUUUAAAUUUUUUUAAAUCCAACGGCAAAGAUUAAUUAGGUGAAUAAAAAUUAAAAAAAAAUGUAAAAAAAUUCUUAAAAAUCCGAAAAAAAUUAUGAAAAAUUAUAAAAAAUUUUGAUUUCACUUCACCUAUAAAUACCUUCUCAUUAUCUUCUACCCUACACCACAAUUUCAUAUUUUCUCAACUACUUUCAACCACAUUCCUAUCUUUCUUUCAAAGUUUCAAUCCAAUUUUUUUCCAACAAAAUGACUACUCAACCAGGUACGAAUUGGACGCUUCUUGAAGAUGUUGCGUUGUGUACUAGUUGGGUUCAAGUUACUCAUGAUUCGAUUACGGGUAAUGAGAUGCAGUUGCGAGAAAUGUGGAGUCUUAUUCAUACCAAUUAUCUUGAGAAAAUGGGUGGGCAAAGAACUAAAGAAUCGAUGUCCAGUCGUUGGAAAUUACUUAGUCAAUCGUUUAGUACGUUGAGAGACGCCUUGGCACAAGCUAGUGGUAAUCUUCGAAGUGGGGAAAAUUUAACGGAUCAGGUAACAAUAUAUUAUUUAUUUGUUAGCUACUUUCAUUAUAUUUAUUUGUUUGUAUUAUUUAUUUGUUAUCUUCUUUCAUUAUAAUUAUUUGUUAGCUACUUUCAUUAUAUUUAUUUGUUUGUAUUAUUUGUUACCUACUUUCAUUAUAAUUAUUUGUUAGCUACUUUCAUUAUAAUUAUUUUGUAUUAUUUAUUGUUACCUACUUUCAUUAUAAUUAUUUGUUAGCUACUUUCAUUAUAUUUAUUUUUGUAUUUUUUACCUACUUUCAUUAUAAUUAUUUGUUAGCUACUUUCAUUAUAAUUAUUUGUUAGCUACUUUCAUUAUAAUUAUUUUUGUAUAUUAUUUGUUACCUACUUUCAUUAUAAUUAUUUGUUAGCUACUUUCAUUUAUAAUUAUUUGUUUGUAUUAUUAUUAUUUGUUACAUACUUUCAUUAUAAUUAUUUAUUUGUUACCUAUUCUCAUUAUAAUUAUUUGUUUGUGUAGGAACUUCAAGCACAAGCUUGGUAUGGUGCCAAAACCAAAAGCAAAAAACAAAACAUUCACCCGGUUUGAAUGUUGGAAUAUUGUCAAAGAUUGUCCUAAAUUUAGAGUUGUGCAUGUCGGUCCAGAAGUUUUCAUGAAACAGCACCCCUCUACACUCUACACCUGAGCAUGCCUCGCAUGAUCAUGAUAAAGAUGAUGAAGAAGUGCCUGAAACGCCCCCCGUUGAACAAGCGUCGGGGUCGACCCGUUAUCCAAUUAGGCCUCAAGGUAAGAAGGCUUCAAAGAGAAAAGGUAAUGCUUCCAAGAAUGAUUAUGCAAAGUAUAUGGAAGAUCUUGCCCGCCAAGGUGAAUUGAAUUUGGCCCGGGAAAUGGCUAAAUUUGAGGCUGAUAAGGCUAGAGAGGAUGCAAAAGCUGCAGCUUUUGAGAGAGAAAAUUUGAAGCUGAUGAGAGAGAAAGAGAACUACUUCGGCAAGAAAGGGAACAUAGAAGAGAAGAAAGAAUGGCUGAACGAGAUCGUGACAUUAUGAAGGAGCCUUUAGAAGGGAAGUCUCCAGACUCUAAAAUAUUUUUGGAAGUCAGAGAAAGCGGAUGUGGUGCGAAGGAUGCGUGCAAGAGAAGCGAGAGCAAGAGGAGAUGGUCCUAGCACCACAAGAGAAGAUUAUCCUAGCAUGACAAGAGAAGAUCAUCCUAGCACCACAAAUUGGUUAGGUGAUGGUUAUCAUCCAUUCACAAACCCAUAAUUUUCCAAUCAAUUCGGGUUGUAAUUUCUUAUUCGGGUUGUAAUUUCUUAUUCAUUGAAUAGAGUACUUUAUGUUGUUUCCAAUUUAUUGAACUUAGUACUUUAUUCAAAACACAUUUAAACACACCAAAUAAAAUAACAUCAACACACCAAAAAAACACACCAAAUAAAAACAAACACCAAAUAAAAUAAAAUUACAUUUCAACUCACUAAAUGAACUAAAAAACACACCACAUAAAAUAAAAAUAAAUACACCAAAUAAAAACAAACACCAAAUAAAAUAAAAUUACAUUUCAACUCACUAAAUGAACUAAAAAAACACACCACAUAAAAUAAAAUAAACACACCAAAAUAAAAACAAACACUAAUGAACUUAAGUAUCGUCAGCACCCCUCAAUUCCCACUGGUGCUCUAUCAAGUCAAGUUGGCGGGCAUUGUGCAUAUUUGACCUUUGAAGUGCAGUAUAUCGUUGGAUGAUCCUUUCAUUGUAACGUCCAUCCCUUUCUAAUGGCUCAUGUUGCACGGGCUCAUCGGUGGCGUCAUGAGCACAAUAUAUACGUGUUCUUGAAUUGUUCAUCGUGUCUGGCUCAUAUUCAUCAACGGCUUCAUAAUCGUACUCAUCUUCCACAAUCAUGUUGUGAAGAAUGAUGCACGUCAUCAUGAUGGAUCGAAGCGACUCUACAUCAAACAAUCUGGCAGCACCUCUGAUGAUCGCCCAGCGAGCUUGGAGGAUACCGAAACAACGCUCCACAUCCUUCCUGCACCCUUCUUGACAUCUUGCAAAGUGUUUUUCCUUUGCACUGCGCGGACGUGGCACUGUUUUGACAAAUGUUGACCACCUUGGGUAAAUGCCAUCAGCUAGGUAGUAUGGCCCGUCGUACAUACGUCCAUUGACCUCAUACGUGACUUUUGGUGCGUUUCCUUGCAGGACAUCGUUGAACACUGGGGAUUGGGCAAGGACGUUGAGGUCAUUUUGAGCUCCCGGAACCCCGAAAAAGGCGUGCCAAAUCCAUGUAUCAAAAGAUGCCACCGCCUCCAAAAUGAUACUUUUUGAUCCUUUUCUGUCCCCAUAAGCGCCUUGCCAUGCACUUGGACAGUUUUUCCAAGUCCAAUGCAUACAAUCAAUGCUUCCAAUCAUCCCUGGAAAACCUCGCAUCUCGCCUUUCUUCAGAAGCCUUUGCAAGUCCAUAUGAGUAGGUAUCCGGAGGUACUCUGCGGUGUAGAUAGAUUCGAUUGCCGAACAAAACCUCAUGAGGGACUCAAGAAUGGUUGAUUGUCCCAUCCUCGUUAUCUCGUCCACUUGGUCUGCAGCUGCUCCAUAUGCAAGCAUCCGCAAGGCAGCAGUAAUUUUUUGCUGAGGCAGGAGACCCAUAGCACCAAAAGCAUCCGGCUUUUGCACAAAGUAAGAAUCAUGGUUGCAAACAGCGCCCAUGAUUUUGUUGAACAAAUGUCGUUCCAUUCUAAAACGACGUCGGAAGUAUGUAUCAGGGAAUGCACUGUUACGGACAAAAAUAAUCGUCCAAGAGCUCCUGACCUCGUCGUUGCCUGUUUCUAUCAAUGUUUACAGCACGGUUGGGCCUGCAGAGAUAUGAGCCACAGCUUGGACGACUCGACGGGAUUGUGAGGCUCCUGCCAUUCUUGAUUCGUCAUCUCGCCGUCUACGCUCGUCAUCCUCUUCCAUCUCAUUUUGGCCCCAAUCCCCAACAUUGAACAUUCCUUGUGAUUGGUUAAACAAUUCUUCCUCUUCUUGCUCGAUUUCCCACAUCAUCUUUGAAGAAGAAGAAGAAGACAUUGUAAGAAGGAAGCAGAAACUAUGAAUAAUGAUAGGGAUUUUGGUGAAGAAGGAAGCAAAAACUAUGAAAUAAUGAUAGGGAUUUUGGCGAAGAAGGAAGCAGAAACUAUGAAUAAUGAUAGAGAUCUUGAGAAAAUUGGUGUGAGAUUUAUGAGGAUGGAUGGGGGAUUAUAUGGAGGAUUCAGAAGGGAUUAGGUUGUAGAUAAUGCCACGUGGCAUGCCGUCAUUCGUUAAAAAUCUGGUGGAAAUCUAUCCUCAAAGAUUGUAAUCGGAUUGUGACACGUGGCACGACGUGAUUGGUUAAAAAUCUUAUCAGAAAUCCAUCACCAAUAAUUGUCUUUUCAGAUAAUGACACGUGCCUUGACACAACGAUUAAAAAUCUUAUCGGAAAUCCAUCACCAAUAAUUUUCUUUGCGGAUAAUGACACGUGGCGCAACGAGAACGAUUAAAAAUCUUAUCCGAAAUAACAAAUAUAAUUAUUUUGAAUUAUUUUAUAAAUACAAAAAUUUUAUUGCUAUUGGCUUUUCGGAUAAUGACACGUGGCGCAACGAGAACGAUUAAAAAUCUUAUCCGAAAUUACAAAUAAAAUUAUUAUGUAUUAUUUUAUAAAUAAAAAAAUACUAAUAUUUUAUUGCCAAUUGCCAGGGCUAUUCAGUGCAGGGGUGGAGAUGCAAAAGGCAAUUGCCAGGGGAAUGCACUAUUUAUUAAGAGCAGUUACUGUUCACUAGGUGGAUUAAAUAGUGAAUUGCCUGGGGGGAGGACUCCUACACUGGAGUUGCUCUAAGGUUGCUGCUUUUCUUGGGGAGAGAAGUGGAAGAGACAGAGCAUUUAAAGCUUUCCUUCUGAGUUUCCACAUUGUAGGAAUACUGUCACUUCAUGCAAUGUAAGGCCAUAGAUCAUGAUGCUGACAAGUUGAGGACACGUGUCGAAAGAUGGUGCCGUUGGGGCCCACAACCGUCCAAGGGAAAAUUUCUCGAGUAAUAUCAGUUACCACGGUAUUCAAGCGGAAACAACUACACGUGUGGGAAUUUGGUGGACGUCGGCUAUCAGGGUGAGUUUAGCAUCUGAGCUGUGAAAGCAAAGAAAAAGACUUGCGUCACAAUCAAAGCUUCAAAAUCGGUCUGUCCCUCCUUGGGCAAUGCGCUUUACAUUUUUCUUACUUUCUUCAUUAUUUGUUUGUAGAUCACAUUCUUUGAGAAAUUUUUGGGUUCAUUAGUCUUUGUCAAGUCACUCGUUUAUCUUAAAAAGAAAUUUUCUUGCAUCACUAGUUUAUCAUGCUACAAUCAUAAAUUUAUUGAAUAGAUAACAACAAUAAAGUCUCAUUUCAAUAAGUGGAGUUAGCUAAAUUUAAAAUGUCACUGGACUCAGUUUUACGCCAAAUUUAUUAGACGGAUAAUACAAUUUUUCAAUCCACAUUCUCCCCCACUUGACCAUUUCAUCAACAAUGUUGUCUAAAUGCUUUUGUUUCAUUUUUCAAUUUGAUGCUAGGCCCAUGUUAGACUAAAAACAACUGCCGUACAAAAGUAAGAUAAAAGGGAUACAAAGGAGAACAUAUAUACAUACAUAUAUAUAUAUAUAUAUACACAACUGCCGUACAAAAGUAAGAUAAAAGGGAUACAAAGGAGAACAUAUAUACAUACAUAUAUAUAUAUAUAUAGAGGCCCCUUCUCAAGAGGGAUUCUAAUUUUUCAAAAAAAAUGGGAAUACCUUCUUCACCGUUAGAUUUGACUUGAAUGAAAUUCUGUGGUUGAGAUGAAAUCACAGGCCACAAAAUCUUAAUCACAAAAUUUUAUUAAAGCCAACUCUAACGGUUAAGAGGGGAUCCUCUUUUUUUUUUGAAAAAUGGGGAUCCCUCUUGGGAAGAGAUUCCUAUAUAUAUAUAUAUAUAUAUAUAUAUAUAUAUGCUAGCUUUCAUGCACGCGCUCUUUGAAUCACAACGUGCUACGCAUGACUUACACAUUUUAAAUGAAUAAUAUUAGACCAUGCUAAAAGAAAUUCUUCGUAAAUCAAUCAAAACAGCCGAAUCUACAUUAGGGGCUCCAUUGCCAAGAGAAAGCAGAGUUACCCCAGCAAAUGUGGUGGACAAUUUUAACAACCUAGAUAAACUAUCAAGUGAAGAACAUAAGUACUCAGAAGCUGUGUUCCCCAACACAUAGAACAAAACCAGAAGCCAAAGAAACAUACAGCAAUAACCCAAUUGAGAAAAAGUUCCAAAAUUGCAGUAGAAAAUGUUAAGGUGGUUUAUAUAGCCUUGGGAGACACAUGAGUUGUUGGAUUUAAGGUAAAAGCACUUUGCUUUGUAGUCAUCUAAACUAAGAAAACCCUUGCAAUCUAGUGAAUCAGAAAAUCUGGAAACCCCAGAAGUGCUUAGAAACAAAAAGUCUGAAGCAUGGGAAUGUACAACCAAGAAAGCGCAUCCCACUAACAGAAACGAGAUGUUCAAGAAAAUGACCUAAUUUUUGUACUUCGGUAAGAAAACUAAGGUACCCAUUAGAGAAAUUCAAUCCAAUUUAAAAUAUAAAAAAAGUACAGAAAUUGAUUUGAAAUUGAAUCUACCUUUAUGAUCGUGCUCCAGAGCAAUUGGAGAAGAUCAUGAAAAUCCAAAAAUUAGGGUAGAAAUUGAAAUGGAUGGAGGGUUUUGGAGUUCGGUAAAGCUUAAGGAUUAAGGUUGCUUGCCGCUUUUCUUAUUGAGAGAAGUGGAAGACACAGAGCUUCCCUUCUGUGUUUCCACAUUGUACGAAUAUUGUCACUUUAGCCAAUGUAAGGCCAUAGAUCAUGGAUGCUAACAAGAUUGAGGACACGUGUCAAAUGAUGGUGCAGUUGGGGGUCAUUACUGUCCAUGAAAAAAAAGUUCACACGGCAUUCAAGUGGAAAAAACUACACGUGGGAAUUGGAUGCAUUUUUGCUCAUCAUUAUGAACUAUGGUGUAUGCUCACCAUAUAUCUUAUCAUUUGACAUGUGUCCUUUCACUUAAUCAUAGUUAAUUUUUUUUCAAAAUUAGAAAAGGAACAUUUAAUAUUAAAGUUAAUCAUAGUUAGUUAAAAGGACACGUGUCAAAUGAUACACCAUAGUUUAUGGUGAGUAAAAAUGCUCCUCGUGGGAAUUUGGUGGACGUUGGCUGUCAGUGAGUUUGGUCGCACGAUUUACGAUAAAUGAAUAUAAUUAGAAAAUUCUUGAACUCUUCACAAAGAGGAUUCUCAUUCAUAUUUUUCUAUCUUUCUUCAAUAUUUGACCUUUUAUUUUUAUUUUUUAUAAGUUGUGGCAUAUAUUUGUCACAAAAGGUUUAAGCGAUAGCAAAAAUACAAAAAGCUGAGAAUAGAUUCCAGCACUAGGGCUGGGUUUGGUUGGCAAACCGUGCCAAUUUCUUGUGCCACUUGCCGGCCGUAUAUAUAUAAUUACCGAAAAUUAGUUACCGCUAGCCAACCGUCUUUUUGCAGUUGCUAAAAAUCAGUUCAACCGAAAUUAUUGGUUAGUUCGGUUGACAAAUGGCAACCAAUGGUUUGCAAAUAAGCUACAAAAACAACAAUUGAAGACCAUGCAUUGACCCGUAAACAACAAACCCAAAAAGAAAAAAAGAAGUUGCUGCAAUUUUUCAAUUGAUGAUAAGCCAACAUAUUCAUGACCUAACAAAUUAAAAUGAAAAUCAAAACAAAACUCAAGCCAACAACAAUGUCAGCAAACAUAAUCCAAAUAGUUAUAAGUUUCACAAACUCAAAAGUCUAACUAAUAUAAUUUUAUAAAUUCAAUUGUAGCAACUAAUGCAUAAACAAAAAACUUAAAACUCAAAAGUAUGGUUAUGGUUAUAAGAUCUCCUUAUUAUAAUCCCAAAACAAAUAACUUCUUGUUUUGAUAAUGCAUAUUCAUUGAAGUAGCAGCAAUCAAUGCAUGUGAAAUCUUUCAUGAAUCAAUUCUUUGAGGCACUUAGAAUUGAUGUUCCUGCUUGAAAUGUAGAACCAUUAACUAUUUCAGUUCAAAUGUUACAUAAAAAAAAUAUGAUUAGCUAGAAUAAGAAAUAAUAUUGAAUAAUAAAUUAAAAAUAUCAAUAAACAUUGGAUUGAAGUGCUAUAAUUAGAAUUAGAAAAAUAUAUCAAUACUUACAAUUUUCCAGUUCUUCACAUGUCAAGCAUGUAAAAAAUACCUAAAACAUCUAAAUAGAAUAUAUAUAUAUAUAUUGGUAGGUAUGGCAUUCCGCCAAUAUACAAAAUCCAAUACCAAAGCCAUACCAUUAAUUGUCGGUUUGGUAUAAUUGUCACAUCCCGGGCCGGGGCGGACCACUUUCCGGGCCCGCUCUACCAUCGUAGCACGAUAAUGUCCGCUUUAGGUCUCGGCCACACCCUUACGGUUUUGUUUCUGGGAACUCACGAGCAACUUACCAGUGGGUCACCCAUCAUGGGAGUGCUCUAGCCCCCUUCUCGCUUAACUUUGGAGUUCCUACGGAACUCAAAGCCAGUGAGCUCCCAAAAGGCCUCGUGCUAGGUAGGGAUGAGAAUAUACAUUUAAGGAUCACUUCCCUGGGCGAUGUGAGAUGUCACAAUAAUGCCAACAGAUUAUGAAAAAAAUGCAAAAAUUAUACUAUAGCAUUAUGAACUGACCGGUAUGGUUCGGUCGGUAAAUUGAUUUAUAGCAAAAUUUCCCACCCCUGUCCAGCACAAUUCAAUACUGCAAUCAGUGCUUUACAUAUCUACAUUAUUUGUUUGUAGAUCACAUUCUUUAGAUAUUUUUGGAUUAGUCUCUGUUAAGUCACUCGUUCCUCUGAGAAUAGAGGUUAUAUCGCAUCACCAGUUUAUUACGCUACAAUCAUGAACUUAUUGAAUGGAUAAUAACAACAACAACAAAGUCUUAUUCUAAUAAGUGGGGUUGACUAUAUAAACUUAAACGUCACUGCGCUCAGUUUUGCGUUUAUUAAAUGUAUACACAAUGUGUUUAAUACAUGACCAACUUUACAAAUAUUUUUGGAAAGUAACAUUCACACACUUGUUUUUUUAACUUUUUACACAUUCAUGUUUGAUUCUGACCACUAAUUAUGUAUAAUUUAUUCAAUCUAAUAGUCAUAAAUAAAAAUAAUUGAGUAAAAAACUAAAAAAAAUCCAUGACGCUACUGAGCCUGAAUUUUAAUUACAAUCCUCGUACAAGUAGGAGUGUAGGAGGAUGUGACAUAAUUGCUUUUAUUCAAUCCACAUUCUUCUCCCCCACUUGACCAUUUCAUCAACAACGUUGUCUGCCUUUGUUUCCUUUUUCAAUUUGAUGCUAGGACCAAACAAGAAACAAAGCAACACUAGACAAAAACAACUGCUGUACAAAUAAAUGAAGAUUUAGGGAAGAUAGUUUUCUUAUUAGUUAGGAUUUUUACAAUGAGUGUCGCAUUCUUUACCUAAAUAAGUUUAUAUGCUUGUCAGAUUAGUCAUGAAAACUCACUGUUAAAUUAAAUGAAUGGUAAUAAAAGCAGAAAACAUGAGGCAAAAAGUCGAAGUUAACAUUAAACUUGACAUGGAUUACCACAAUCCUACGACUACCACAUAACAAGAACACAAGGGAAACAAAAGAACAUAAAAACUAAAGUUGAGAAACAAACAAACACCCACAUUAGACAACAGACUGCAUACUUUUAUUUUAGACCACUUUUGUAGUACCCUCAAAGCUAAUUGGCAAGAUAGUUAAUCACCAUAAGUGGUAAUGCUGUCCAUAAUCUUGGCCACCACCUCCUUAGAAUCCCUCAGCUUUUUUAUGCUUUUGUUAAGCUUCUCACGCUUUACUGCCACUGCCGGCGACUCCUCCAGCAUCCUCUCGAUUCCCCCGCCGUAUGGUCCCAUCAACUCAUUCACAAUCUCAGCUUCCAACUCUUUGUUCACAAGCUUAAAGACAGACAGCUGCAAGUGCAAUGCCAUGGAGUCCACAAGCCUCCUCAAAACAACCUUCCAAUAGGCAAUCAUUCUCAUUUUAAGGUCAUAAGCUUGACCUAACACAAGCGGGUACAUCCUCAGACAACCGACUUCCACUUCCCCGAUGCCUUCUAUAUCUAUGAUAGAAGGUUUCUUCUCAUCAGCUAAGACUCCAUGAAUGAAUUCAUUUUGAUUAGCCAUCAACUUGUUCCAUUCGGAAACAUAAUCACCAUCACAUGUAUAAUCUGUCAGCUUUUCCAUCUCUACAAGCUCCAGCAUCCACUUGAUUGACCUUUCCUUCAUCUUGGCCAUUAGAUUAUGGCCGGCACGCCUUGCUGACAGCUGCAGCUGAUGAUAGUUCUCCGUAUAAUGCAUCAACACAGAAAUAACCACCUCUUCAAUGUAGCUCCACACUUUUUCCACAAAUGCUAUCGGAAUACUCGAAAUUUCAUCCACUUUUCCCUGCAAGAUACUGAGGAAAGCAUUGCGUGGAAGAAAAUUUGGAAGUGAAAUACCUUUGGCCUUCUCCAAGAUCUUGAUCUCCUUCAUCAAGAAGUUGCUCUUUGCAUCAGUUUCAGCACAUCUGUGAAGUUCAUCAGAGUACAGGUUGACCAAUCUAGCAGUGCAGUGCAUGCUGUCUUCUGCGUACUCGUCAAAUUCUCCUCUCAAAAGAAUCUUCCUAAGCGAUUCCUUAGCCAAGCCAAUGAUUUGCAUAAAGGCCGUCAUGGCCUCGGCAACAGAUGAAAGACUCUUUGGCAUUUUAUUCAGUUCCAUAAUGCAGAAGUUCAGCCUGUCAUUGAUCUUCUUCACUAUAUCGGGUAUAUUUCUUGCUAUGCUGUUUGCUUGAAUUUGGACCAGCUUCUGUGCUAAAACUGGAAUACCGACAAUGGACUUGUCAAUCUUCGAAAGCAGGGGAUGGGUUUGAAAUAGUUCAUGAGCCAUCGCCGCUGCCUCCUCAUAAGUUUCGUCACCAAUCCUGUUCCUUACACAGACAUAACCAAGACCAAUGUUUACAUCAUCUCCGGUGACCUUCUCAAGUAGUCCUUCCGGUGCCUUGUCCACUUUCGUAACCACAGCGAGCGUCCUCUCACCAGUUUUAUCUACACUUUGUGACAUCCGAAUUGACUCACACGUAGUAAAAUCCACCGUAGCAGACAAUACAUUCAGAAUAAUACUUUCUUCCGGCUUAAUAUACUCCAUGAUCAUAUCUUUGAUCUGAUCAUAAAUAUUUUCAGGUUGGCCAUGGACCGGAACCCUUGUGAUUCCCGGAAGAUCAACCAUAGUCAGAUCCGGAACCCCAUUCUUCUUCACCAACAAAUUAAGUGGCGUGUUCGAAAUUCCCUUACCUCCUCCCGCAAUAGAAUUAGUAGCUUUCACAAUAUCUUUGGCGAUAUUGUCUUCAUCAGUACGAUCAACUCUGCCAUUGUACUCCAAGGAAAGUUCAGGCUGAGGACUCGAGUGGUGUUCCAGCCUCAUAAUAAGAGGCACUCUCCUGCAGAUGCCUUGGCCCCGAGGGAGGCUGAUGCCGGCCAAGGAUUCGAGCACGCUGGACUUCCCCGAUGACUGGUCUCCGACCACCACAAUCGUUGGCAGCUGAAUGCCUUCAUCCAUCACCAUCAAGCUGCGUAACUUGUCUACCGCAUCCAGAAGAGGGCGGAUCUUGUCGUUGUAGGACGACACAAUGGGUGCGCAUUUGAGAGGUACUGCGUCUAGUUCUGCCUGAACCAUGGCGAGGGAGCCUUCACCGUUUAAAUCUGUGCAACUCGAUUCCAUUUGCCUUGGUCCUUCCGUUUCUGAAUUAUAGCAAGUGAAAAUAAUGGUGAAAAAUCUAGAGAGAAACCGAGAUAAUUUCAAGCUUAGCUAAAGAAUUGAGGUUCUCUGGCAGCUUACCCUCCAGUUGAGAACCUUUUUUUACUAAGAAUGAUUUCAGGUAAGGGAAAACACCACUUUCGUGACCCUGUAGGAAACGAAGCCUUUCCUUCCAAUGCUGCAUUUCCACAAACUCAAGAGACUCUAAUACCCCAAAAGGCAAGUUACGCUCUCCAUAAAACUCAGCACCAAUUCGAAGAUGGAGUAAAAUGUUCUGUAUUGAGUUUAUGACUUAAUGGAGUAAACUGUUCUAUUUAUAGCUACUGCUAUAUAUCAUUCUUAGCCUUUAAGCAACUUAACUGACUCUCAAUCAACAAUAACAACACAUCUAAUAAAAAUGCUACUUUAUUUGUACCAUCAUUUGCUUACACUGAUAAAUAGCACUCAUACUCAUAAGCUGACAUGGCAGCCACAUCACUUAAAGUAAGAAGAUUACUUGUCAGAGAAGAUAUCAGUCAGGAAGAAGUGAGAAAGCUGGUUUUAGUAAGUGCCUUAGGCUUAAAGGCUUCUGGUAGUACGUAUACUUGUUCAGCAUAACCUAUCGAAGUAAAUGACAACCAGCCGUUUCAAAACCGCAUGCUGAGAGAGUUGUGAUUUGGACUUCCAAACGUUUAGCAAACCACACCUCAUGCGAGCCUUUGAACCCUAAUCAGUGUAAAUGUAAUAUGGACAGUUAACUGAUGACCAUUUUUUGUGCUUGAUGCUCUUGGACUUCAAUCAACCUUUAUAUAUUAUUCAUUCAAAUAAUCGAUCACAAGCUAGCCAAUGUAAGUUGUAACCCAACAGAGACGAGAUGUUGAAGAAAAUUAUAUAUUUUUUGUACUAUGGUAAGAAAACUAAGGCACCCAUUAGAGAAAGAGAAGUGCUAGCAGCCUUUGCACUAAUAUUUGUAUUUGGACCCUUUCAGUUUAACAAAUAACACAUUAUUUUCUAUACAAAAAAAAAAAAGCAAGAAUUUUGUCUAGGAAUUAACGAUGAGAAAUUGAAUCUAACAACCAAAAUUAAAGUUAACAAAAAAAAAUAGAGAACUUAAUUCUUAUCGAAUCGAAUCUACCUUUAUGAUCGUGCUCCAGAGAAAUUGAAAAGAAUGGAGGGUUUUUGAAUUUGGUAUUUUUUGUGUGGAGAAAAAUGAAACAGAAAGAGCCUUUGAAGAUUCCUUUUUGAGUUUUCACAUUAGGAAUUGGAUAUGCUCCCAAUUUUAGUGUCCGGAGCAUGUCCAUCAAUCGAUUUGGGUUGCUAAUUUGUGUGCAAAAGAAAUCAAAGUCGUUCAUUGUGUGUGGUGGGUCAGGAAAAUAAAUUAAAGGAGGCCGUUAGAUUCAAUUUGUGUGGCCCAAAUUGGUUGAUGCACAUGCUCCAGAAACUAAGGUCUGGAGCGGAUCCAAUUCCUUCACAUUGUGGAAUUUUGUUUCACUUUUACCAUUGUAAGACCAUAGAUCAUGGAUGCUGACAUGGUUGGAUAGGUGUCAAAUGAUGGUGUCCUUGGGGUCUCCACUGUGUCAAAGAAAAAGUAGUCCCCAUGGGCAUCCGAGCGGAAAGAGAACCCACGAUAGUAUAAAGAUUUUGCAUCACACUCAUAGCUUUGACAUCAAUCCUUUUCCCCUCCUUGCCGAUGUUCUUUAUAUUUUACUUUCUUUCUUGAUAAGUUGUUUGUAGAUGACAUUUUCUGAGAAUCUCUUGGGUGUCGUAUGCGUGCUACAUCACUCGUUUGUGUCAAAAUAUAUAUAAACAUUAUUUCUUUCAAUUGAUAUUUAAAAUUAAAAGUCUACAGACACUUUUUGGGUGAACUUGAAUUAAGGAAUUCUCAUUUUAUGUGUUAAGUUUUAUGCGGAUGAGUUACGUGGUACAAAUUCAAGAAUUACUCUACAUUUUAAGCUGUUUUUUUAAACAUUUAUAAGCACAUAUAACUGAACUAGAACGCCACAUGACAAUAAAUGAAUUUUAUAUAAAUCAUUGUUACUUGGAGACUAAGAUUAUGACACCAUUAAAUAUUACAUUGUUUUGCAAGAAAAAAGAGAACAUGGGAAAGAUAACAGGACCAAAACAAUUGAGACUACAAUUUAGGACAUAUUGUACCACAUCUUAAAAAAAAAAGUGGAAUUUACUUAUAUUAUGAAACCUACUAGUAUUAAAUGGUUUACAAUGUAAUUUACUAAAGUAUAACCUCUCUAGCUGAUAAGCCUAUGAGUAAUUAGCGUUUGUAGACAUCAAAUGCUAAUGAGAAAAAAAAAAAUCUAAUUUCAUCCUAUCCACCUCUAUUAUAAAAUUUAUGUUUCAAUGCAUAUACUAACGAUCAAAAUUCAAAUUUCAAUUGUAGAACUGAACCAAAUUAUUGGUAACAAAGCGAUAAUAUAACGAUCAAAACUCAAAGAACUCAUGCCCCGAGUCUAUCAAUAUUUAUUAAAUCCAAAUGUUGUCAACUAUUGGUCUAGUGGUAACUCGUCUUAAUUUUUUACAAGCGAAAAUUCUAGAGUACAUCAACUUAUAACAUAAAUUACAAAAUUUAACGGUUAAUAUGUGUUCAAGAAAUCAAAGAAAUCUAAGAUGUAUCAUUUAUGAAUAUGGUCUACAUGCGAAAUUAUCCUCAAAGAUCAUUGUUGGACAUCAAUGACGGAAGAAAAUCGACAAGUGCUUUGAAUAUGCUCGACAACGACUCUCAACUAUGUACACUCACGAGCAGCCUUAUAGAGGGCAAGUAUCCUUGACAUAAUUCGAAGACGUAGUAACUAAAGCAUGCUUAGCAGACCUCCAAGAAAUUGUGGUUCCACCAACAACACCCAUUUGGGAUCUUGCCGUGUGCAGAUUGAAUAAGUACCCAUCAUCAACAUAACCAACAAAUGGAACUCGAGAACUGGGGUGGGGGGGGGGGUGGUGUGGGAUGGUUGCACUCGAAGUUGAGUAGGGAUGGAACAAGCCCAGGUCAACAGUACCAUUAAGAUAACAUAGAAUUUCUUUAACACCUUUCAAUGUCUGCGUGUUGGCACAUGAUUGUGUCGUGCUAAGUGAUUCAUAAUGUAGGAAAUGUUAGGUCUUGUACACUGAGAUAAGUACAACAAAGCACCAAUUGCACUUAAGUAUGGAACCUUGGGUUCUAAAACCUCUUCAUCAUCUAUCUUUGGAUAUUAUAAGUCUCGUUGUGCAUUGAUGAGUCCAUAUUGUACUAUAUAUUUUACCCUAAUCUUAGUUACAAUUUUUUGGUUAUUUUGGUGAAGUUUUGAUACUUUGGUUUAUAUUUUUAAUGUAGAACAUUUGAAUUCCUCUUGAGCAUAAAGUGAUCAAACAGACAAAUUUUGGAGCAAUUCCAACUGAAGGAUGUUCGUGAGUCUUUCAAGAUGAUUAUGUCAAAAUUCUAGAUUUUUUUACCAAGCCAUUUGACCGUGGCCAUGAUAAGAAUGCCCAGCGCGCAGUUUUUCUAGAUUGACAUUUCUGGACGUUUUGGGUAUUUUGAAGGUUAAUAUGGCAUAUUUUAAGGAAGAUUCAAUCUGAAGAUUUGUAAAUGACGUCUCAAACUUUUAAAAAAAACCUUUUGGGACCAAAUCGGAGUUGAUUUAAUUAGUCAAAAGUUUGAUUUUCUAAGAAGUCCGAAUUUCAGUUCAAAUAGGAAAUCUUUUAUUUCCUAGUCAUCUUAUUCUAUUAUGUUUCCUAGUUUUUAGAAGACCUUUUCUAAGUAGGAUUUUAUUUUGUCGUAGUACAAAUAAGGCUAUUUAGCUAUUAGGAGGGGAAGGCAUCAAUUUGGAGAACUUAGCUAGGCUUUGACGAUUUGUAUUUCAAGGUGUUUUAUAUCAUUUUUCUAUUUCAAUAAAAUUCCUUUUGUUUUAUGGUUGUUGGUAACUAAUUUCCGUUUGUUCGGGUGAUGCCUUGAGCCUUAGCAUGAAUAUGUAGUUAAUUUAAUUGCUUAUGAUAUUAUGCAUACUUUGAAUUAUCAAUCACUGUACUUUAAACUGUAUUUGUGUCUUAAUGAUUCAUGACCAUUAGGAUGAUUAGAUAAGUAAUUGGAUGCAAUUCGGUCGGAAUACCACCAGGGAAUUGAGUAUUGCUUCUUGUGAUUGAUAGUUGUAAUUUCACCUAGAGCAAAUACCAUGUCUUAGGGGUUGCAUGGUUUUUUCAAGGGGUUUUAACAAAGCGUAAUGAGUCAUGCAUGUUUAUAUUUGAUCUGAAUACCACAGACAGAUUGCAUGUUUGAUAUACAUUCUAGCUUGAAUACCACGAGUAGAAUAUACAUUAGGAAAACCUAACCUUCAAAGUUGCAUGGGUAAUUCGUAAGUAAUUAGUAAAUCUACAUAGGAUUGUUCAGGGGAUGGCUGAAUCUUAGUGCUUUUCUAAAUUUAUUUCUUAAAACCUUUUCUUUUUUAUCUGAUUUCUUCUUAAUUGGUUACUAGUAGUUUUGUGACAACCCGUCCCGAAUUUGUAUGUAUUUUAAUCCCCGAGUGUGUAAAAUGACGGAAAUGCCCUCGAGGCUUAGUGACGUGGAUGUACAUAGAUAGUUUUAAAUUAUUUUUCUCGCUGUCAUAAUUAAAUCAUACACGACGCCACGAGCGCAUUGACGCGAAUUAGGGUUGAAUCGGAUUCGUAACGAAAAUGUUACAAACGAAUAGGUGUAAAUGAAUAAGUUUGGAUUUAUACCUAACCCACCAAUCAUAUUACUUCCUACAAUCUUGGACCCAAUUAAUUGUUUGGGUUAGCUUUAUUUCUUUUUGGACCCUAAAACCCACCAUCUCUUCUUGCCCAAUCCGGAGGUGCGCGCGCGCGCACACACACACACACACACACUAAAAAUAUCUCAUUUCUCUCCUUGGUGACCAAUCACACACACACACUAAAAAUCUCUCAUUUCUCUCCUUGGUGACCAAUCAGACGCACACACACACACAACCUCAUCUCAUCUCCUUCAUCUUCUCGAACUCUCUCAUUCGUCUGUACACCGUACGAACACCAUUCACAAAUCCACCAAAAACUUCACGGAUCAAGUAUUUGAACACCACUAUCACCUUUCCAGUGAUCUCAUGAGCGAAACUCUGAGAACCCAGAGCUUCGGCGAGGUACUCUAUUACUCUAAUGUGAUUAUGGACAUUUCAUGAGAUUUUGAGGCUUAAAUAGGGUCUUAAUCAACUCUAUAAGGAUCCUAGGCUAGUUUUGGACUGGUUUGAACGUCAGAAUCCUCGAGAUCACGGAGUUGCAGUUUUGGCUGGUUGUGUCGAGCUAUUUUCUGUCCAUUUCUCGAAGGUUUUAGGUUCCUAAAUAGGUAAGGACUUGUUCUCCUUGUUGAGAGCUUCAAUUCCAUAUAAACUUUAAGAAUUUUGGUUGAGUUUUGAAGAAGAUAUGAAUAUUUUAAAAUUUCCCAGUUUCCGGCGAGUUCAGACGGCGGCGGAGGACAACGGAUUCCGUCGAAGUUCACCGUUGAAGACAGAGAAUAUUCCGUGAACUUUAACGGAAUAUUCUAACGGCGUCAGGUAACUUUAACGGAAUAUUCUAGGAUUUUAACGAAAUAUUCCCUAACGCUGUUAGGGUUUCCGUAGUUGUAUCAAACACGUGCCUGCGCGUGGGACAUCAGAAAAUUGUUCUAAAAAUAUGGGGAUGUUCGUGGUGUUAAGUAGCCCACGAUGAUAUAUUCAAACACUCAAAUUGAGCAACGCAUGAGAAAUUAUUACACGGUUUUGGUUAUGUACUUUCAAAUUAACAUUUAAUCAGUUGUUUCACAUAUGGGUGAGACGUUUUCGGAGGACGAGUGUAGCCAGGUAGGACUUGGGGGCUACGACCCUGCUACAUACCAGUGAGUGGGCUUUUGGUUUUCUAUAUAUACGUAUAUAUGCUUUACUUUUUCUUAGAAACUUUUUAAAAUGGAUUCACGUUUUUUAAAUGCCAUGUCAAUUGCAUCACAUUUUAGUAUAUGCAUUAGUAUAGAUAUGCAUAAUGUUGCAUGACACUGCGGACGCCCAGGUAAGCUUCAGGUGAGUACAUAUUGAUGAUAGAGAUGGCAACGUGUAUGGUUAUGUUUAGAUAUAUUUAGUGCUCAUUAUCUUGCACCUCGGUAUUAGUGCUCCACUCGAGGCCAGGGCCUAGCGUUCACGUGAUUGUUCGCCUCCCUUACCACACGCUCACCUUGGAUCUAAUGCAGGUGCCAGCCUGUUGUACAGACCACAUUAGGUGGUUCCGACUCGUAGGUGCCUUGCGAUAUUUCGCACAGCCUUCACGUGAUCGUAGCACUUGAACGUACUUAUUCACACCCAGCCUGUCGUACAUACCACAUUAGGUGGUUCUGAAUCGUGUGCAGGAAUUGGUAGAUGAGCUAUAGGUUUAGCCAUACAGGUCACGUUAGGUGACUCCCGCUGCCAUAUCACUUUACAUUGUUUCACAUCACCUGGCUUAUAUAUUUUAUUACUAAGAUACUUGACAUGGCAUAUACUCGGUUUUCACCGAUCUCGAGUAUGAUUUCUAUAUAUGUAUGUAUUAUUAUUUUCUAGGAAAUUAUACGGGUUUUACGGUGAGGGGUUAUUAUGUUUAAAAAGAGAAAUGUGUUUUCAAAACUUUGCUUUUGCCCACUCACAAUUUCUGUUUUGUGCCCUCUAGGUUCUAGCUAGAAGUUUUUGUUGGUGGCUCAUGAGGACUCUACGACGGUUCUGACAGCCUUGCAAUAAUGUAGGAACUUUCUUUCACGUUCUGUAUAAUUAAUACUUAACUUACUAGACUGCACUUAGGUUACCUAUGCUCUGAGUAUUGUAUUUCCCACUUUAAACACUUUCACACACUUACAUACUACUCUAGUGUAACUUAGUUAGUUUUAGUUUUUAAUUACCCACAUUUCAAAUCACUAUCACUUCCGCAUUGCGCACAUGGCUACAUCACCCUCACGUGACGACCAACAUGCCUCGAUUCAGGUCGAGGUGUGUCAUGUUUUUCCUAAAUUAAUUUUAUUAAAUUCGUUUUUAUUAUAUUUAAAUUCAAAAUCAAAAUUUUUGAAUCCUUGUUUUUAGAUAAUUAACUAAGAUUUUGGUUUUGCAUAAAUUGUUUUAAAUAAUCCUUGUGGAAACGAUCUUGCUUGAACCGUUUAUACUACAAUUACCUUAUUCUCUUGCAAGUAUUUUGUGUGAUUAUAACCUCUUUACAUAGGUACUAAAAAUCCUAUCAUGCAUCAAGUGUACGGGUGGCCAUGAGAGUACUCAAAGGCAACACUUUAUCAUUAAAGCAAUGUAACACCGUCUUGGUGUUGUUUGACUGAUGGACCAGAAUUUUGGAUUGUGAACUACCUUAGUACAUAUGUGCAGAAGUGUGGCGGGUGACGUAAACAUAAAUAAUCAUUUUAACAUGCAUGUUAAUGGAAUGUUGGAUUCCGUUUAAUCAUAUUAAAUUAAUUUAUGUAUUGAUUAUCUUCAGGUAUAAUAAACCACAAAUGUGUGUUGCACGCCCUAGGGAAAUUUUUGAGAAACUUUUGGGUUCACUAGUCUGUAUCACGCCACUUGCUCGUCUAAAAAAGAGAUUCUUUCACGUCACCAGUUUACCAUGCUACAAUUUUGAAUUUAUUAGAUGGAUAAUACAUUUUGUUUAAUAAAUGACCAACUUUACAAAUAUUUUUGUGAAGUGAUUUCACACAUAUUUUUUAGCUUUUUACACACCCAUGUUUAAUUUUGGAUGUUGAUUCUGUUUGAUUUAUUCAAUCUGAUGGCCAUAAAUAAAGAGAGGUAUGUGAGGAACUAAAAAUGGUGUGUGAAAAUCCAUGACACUGCUGAGCAUGAAUUUUAGUUAGAUGAAAAAAAACCUUACGCCUGAUACAAGUGGGAGGACAUGACAUGAUUGCCUUUAUUCAAGGAUGAGGAAUGCUAAGGUGACUAUCAAGAGUAGGACUCUCCAAGAACUCUUUGCCACCUCAUAGUUAGUUUAACGUCAAUUCAUUCAUGUGCCAGCAUUAUAAGACUAAUGCUAGGAAGACUAAAUUUGUAGACUAAAUUUGUAAACUAAAUGACAUGGAAGUUGAUUAUUAGAUUAUUACUUAAGCGUUAAUAAACGUGCUCAUUUUCUAUUGGUGACACGUCAUUUAGUUUGUAAAUUUUGUCUACAAAUUUAGUCUCCAUAGCGGUACUUGUAUUAUAAAACAUUGUGCCAAAUAUAUGAGGUGACAAAGAGUCUCAAUUUUGAGAGAGUAUCAUUAGCAUUUCUCUUCAAGAAUUUAUCCACAUUCUCCCUACUUAAUAAUUUCACCAAAAAUGGUUUCUGAAUGCUAAUGAUACUCCCUCAAUUUUGAGAGAGUAUCAUUAGCAUUUCUCUUCAAGAAUUUAUCCACAUUCUCCCUACUUAAUAAUUUCACCAAAAAUGGUUUUUGAAUGCUCACUUAUCAAAAUUAAGCCCCUGUUUAGUAUUUUUUUUUUCAUCAAAAGUUGCUUCACUUUAAAGUUAAGUAGUAAAAGUGUGUUUGGUAAAAAUAAAUUAUUUUGCUUAUAUUAAGCAUAAUGAAUGACCUCUAGAUAGCAGCUUUUAAAAGCAUCUUGUAGAUACAAAUGCUUUAAUACAAAGCAGAGUUGAGCCUUUAAUGAAUAUUUUUAAUUCCUAUAAUACGCUAAAUAAUUUUAAAAAAUAACAUUAUUUAUUCUUGUAGGCACAUUUUAUCAUUGAAGAAUAAAGUUGUGAAAUCUCGUUCCCAAAAGUUCAUUAUUUAAUUUAUGUAUUUCAUAUCUAUUUGAUUUUAUUUAACUAUAUUUUUGUUAAUAUUAGAAUUUUAAUUAUUUAGUUACAAAUUUUAGUUUUUCAUAAUUAGUCAAAAAGAAAAAAAAACUAGAAUCUGCCAGAUGGCAGCGGGAGAGAGAUAGACCAAUUAGAAGAGAGAGAAAUGAGAGAAAGGAUGGGGACCUAGCCAAUCAGAAAAGAGAGCAAGGAGGGGAAAUGAGGGAGAGAAAAACCACCCAAUACCGGAUUUUUGCAUCGACUUGUGAUUUCGUCGAUUUCAUCGGUUUUUCCGACGAAUUCCACUUAGCCGUCACUUGCACACUCCACCCCGACCUCCAUUCUCUCAUUUCCACAAAAAAUACGUGAGUUUUUGGCCUGGAUUUCACAAAAAAUUGCGUCGAGGGCUUUGUGGGUGCACGGUGUCAAUUUCGUCAUUUCUAAAAGGUUUUUCGUCAACCACUGCCACCCUUAGGCGUCUUUUGAGUCCAAGAACAUAGCCUAAAUGAGUUUGGGGGUUGCAGAGCUGCGAAUUCGACAAAUCGAGGAACACCCAUUUCUAGGGUUCCGAUGGAUCGAGGGUGUUUUCAGGCGUUUCUCGGUCAAAUUGGACUUUGGCCUAGGUAUGAAAGUUGUUUCCCUUGUUGUGAUCUACAAUUCUGUAAAAUUUGGUAAUUUUUAGAGUUAGGUGAAUUUUUUGGUGAGUCGAGGCGACACAUGGCCCGAAGAACCACUUGACCUUUCUUGGCUAAAUUCAAUACCCUGAUUCCAUAUGUGACUUGUAAUUGAUGAAAUCCCGUCGUUCGAACAUAGUUUUGAUAGAGGCUGCCACUUGAUCAUUAUAUGAAUUGACGAUCCAACCGUUGGAUCGACACCAAACUUUAGUGCGUUAUAGUACGUAAUAUUUGAGACAUUAGUAACUUAGCGAUCAGGAAUCUGAUGUACGGAUCUUUCCGAAUUGAAUUUCUAAGUUUGUAAAAUCAAACAUUGGCCACCAUUUAAUUUUAGCGAUUGGCGGAGAUCUGACAGUCGGAUUGUUCUGAAAUUUUAGGAUAUUGUUCUAGGAGAUUAUUGAGAGUCUUGGGAAGUUAUGCAUCGGAGAUCCAUGGGCAGAUGUUCUAGAUCGAAUUAUAUAGGGUUGUGGACCCCACCGUUGACAGAGAGUUGACUUUUGGUCAAUAUGUUACGAAUUGAUCUUAAAUAAUAAAAUUAGUAUUACUAGAUACUAAGUAGGGCUUAGUGGGCCUAUAUGGGUUGGUGAGCUAUCACAGGUAAUAUAUACCUCGGUAUACGUGUAUGGGAUGCUUUAUGGUGAUAUAUAUAUGUGUGUGUAAUUAACUUCUUGAUAAUACGAAUGAUACGAAUGAUACGAAUGAUAAUUUUUAUGACAAUGUGAGCCUAGAAACCUAUUAGAAGUAUCCUGGUAGAACUUGUAUGCUUAUGUGACAUGUUAGUUAGUGGCCAUGAGGAAUUGAUAGUGCAGGUGAUUACGUUGUAAAUCAUAGAGGUUGAGAUAUACGAGUAAGUAGGUUGUGUGGUGAUAAGAAUGGAUCAUGUAAUAAUGUGGUACGUGGGUGGUCCUGCUUGGUUAAUCUACAUUAGGGGACCACGCCAUGUGAUGCAGGGGUAUGGUCCGGUUUGGUUAAUACACAUUAAGGGACCAUACGCAUCAUAGGGGUGACCCUGCUUGGUUAAUCCGCAUUAGGGAGUCACUGCCUAGGCCAUUUCUUUAUUUCCAUAGUUGGUCUUACUUGGUUAAUCCGCAUUAGGGGACCAUACUAUGGACGAUCCUACUUGGUUAAUCUGCAUUAGGGGACCAUAUGCAUCAUGGGGGUGACCCUGCUUGGUUAAUCCAUAUUAGGGGGUCACUGCCUAUUCCAUUUCUCUAUUUCCAUAGUUGGUCAUGCUUGGUUAAUCUGCAUUAAGGGACCAUACUAUGGGCGGUCCCAAUUGGUUAAUCCGCAAUAAAGGAUCAUACUAUCGGAUACAUGCCUAUGGUUCUACUUGGUAUAUCUGCAAUAGGGGACCAUACGCAAUCUAUGAGUGAUUAUACUUGAUAUAUCCGCGAUGGGUGAUCAUUGCCUGCACAGUUGGAUUAUGCUUAUGAUUCUGCUUGGUAUAUUCGCAAUGGGAGACCAUACACAUUUUAGGGGUGAUGAGGAUUAGUUGUACUUGGUACAUUUCGAUAGGAGCCAUAUUUUAGUCGAAUUUCGUUGAGUGGUUCGAAAUCCUUACUCUUGCUUAUUUCCACAUAAUUAGUCUCGAACCCUAGAUUCGAGUGAAUGAGGAUUACUCACAGUAGACCUUAUGAAUAUAAAUUAGAUUUACCAUGUUAUUACUUAUAAAUCAAGUAAGGAAUUAUGUAGGGUUCUUUAAAUUAAUUCAUGAAAUGAUAUGUUACCUCAUUAAUUGAUUAACGUAGUUAAAUGUUAUUAUUAUGCAUCCUUGAUUCAUGAAAUUGAUUAAUUUACAUGAUUGUGGAAUGACAUUGGUUAUGGUUGGUGUUACUAUGAUUAGAUUAGUUGAUUAAUGUGGAUUGAGAAUAAUAUUGUGCUUCAUUGGUUCUUUGAUAUGAUACAUGUUGUGAAUUGAGGUAUCAUGUUGAAAACAUAGUGAUUUAUAUGAUCGAUGGAAUGGAAAUCUUGAAUGUCAUGUGGGUUUAUUUUGUAGCCCUGAACCUGGUAAUUUCAUGCUUUUCAAGUUCUAAUAAUUGAUUGAGGAAUGCUCUACUUUUAUGCUUAAACGUACUGUGAUAAACUCAGAGUGUAGUGAAUGGUGAACUACGAAUGACUUGAUCCCGUCUUUGGGUACAUAGGCAGUCUAACACAAAGGUUAGAUGCAGCCAUGAAAUAAAAGAAAAUGACUGCGUGGUUAAAUCAUAUUAUUUUUUUUCUUGUCUCGGAGACGAGACAUGAUGAAUAAACUAAGAUGUGCUGAUAUCACGUGUCGAUCUUGGACGUAUGUCGGGAUCGGGGCAUGACAAAAGUGACCACCGCCAUAAUCACCACCAUUGUUGCCACCACCACCACACUACAAUUGUGCCACCACCACCACCACCAUUGCCAUUGUUACCACCAUGCCAUCACCCCCACCAUAAACACAACCGCCACCACUGCUACCACAACUGCCAUCAUCACUGUUAUUGCCACCCCUACCACCGAUGUUGCCUCUGCAGCCCAACCACCACACCCCUUUAUUGGCACCACCACCACCAGCACCACACCAUCACAACCCUUGCCCUUAUCACCAUUGUCGUCGUCAUCACCAAUAUUGUUACGUCUAUUUUUGUCAUUAUAUACAAUUAUAAAUUAUCAAACGCUUUUACACUGUUUUUUAUACUCACAACACUUCUAAAAAUAUAGUUCAUCAAACACUAAACAACUUUAUUUUGUACCAGAUUAUUCUUAAAGCACAUCAGAAGCAGGUUUUUAAAAAAACACAUCAAUCUCAAAAUGGCCUUAAGAUUAUGGGUUUUUCAAUUGAGGUAAAUAUAUUAUGUAUUUGACCAAAACGAUUUUAAAUAAUUUGUCAUAAGAUGACGCGAAAGAAGAACGGAAAUGUGACACAUGAAAUUGAACCAAAGCAAAUGAUUUUCUUGGGUUUUAACACCCAUAUAUUUUUUUGUUGGUUUAUCAUUUUCACCAAGCUCCACCUCAUCUAUAAUCUUUAUGUAUUAUGUUCCGAUCCCGAAACCAAGCUCCACCUCAUCAAUAAUUAAAUAAUUUGAUGGCAUUACUUUUGUUUCCUUUCUCAAUUUAAAGGCCCAAACAAGAAACAAAGCAACACUAGACAAAGACCACUGCUGUAUAAUGGGUGUUUUAGAAACUCAAAAGGAAAGAAACUCAAAAGCUUCAAUUUGUUUGUCGUGCUCUUUUAACUUCCACUUUUACUGUUAUACAAGCGAAAACAAGAGAGAUUUAAUAUGAGUAAAGGGAUACUUUACUUCUUGAGAUACAAGUUUACUGUUGUAAUCUAGCAAGGUUUCUUCUAAGGAUCUUGGCUUUCUUUAUCUGUAAAGAAGAUGGGUUUUUGGUUGUUUAAUUAAUUUCUACCCAGAAUUGCAAGAUAAAAAGGGAUACAAAGGAGAAGACACACACACACGUGUUUUUUUAAAGAUGAUUACAUUUCCUGGAUAGAACUGAGAAGAUAUAUAAACCGGCAAACAAGUUUAUUUAUCUUAGGAAAGUAACAGUAUUUCCAUAUUCACUUUCAUGUUAUUACAACUUUCAUCUUAUUACAACUUUGAUGUCGAAAAUUAGAAAAUUUAAGGAAGGUGGUUUUCUUAUCAGUUAGGGUUUCUAUAAUGCGCGUUGAAUUCUUUAUCUAAGUAAGUUUUUAUCUGUUAGAUCACGACGGCUCACUGUCAAAUUAAAUGAAAAGUAAUGAAAGCACAAAACAGAAAACAAAAUAUCGUAGUUGACUGCUGGUAGGAUAAAUUUGCAGUUAAAUUUCAUCGAAAACAUUAAACUUGACAAGGAUUACCAGAACCAUAAAAUUACCACAUAACAAGUACACAAAGGAAACGAAAAACUUGAAACAAAAGUUCACAAACAAAUAACCAACGACAUAAGAAAACAGACUGCAUACUUUUAUUUAGACCAUUUUUUAGUACCCUCAAAACUAAUUGGCAAGUUAGUUAAUCCCCAUAAGUGACAAUGCUGUCCAUAAUCUUGGCCACUACCUCCUUAGAAUCCCUCAGUUUUUUUAUGCUUUUGUUAAGCUUCUCACGCUUUACUGCCACUGCCGGGGACUCCUCCAACAUCCUCUCAAUUCCCCCACCGUAAGGUCCCAACAACUCAUUCACAAUCUCAGCUUCCAUCUCUUUGUUCACAAGGUUGAAAACAGACAGCUGCAAGUGCAAUGCCAUGCAGUCCACAAGCCUCCUCAAAACAACCUUCCAAUAAGCAAUCAUUCUCAUUUUAAGGUCAUAAGCUUGAGCUAACACAUGCGGGUACUUCCUCAGAACACCGACUUCCACUUCCCCGAUGCCUUCUAUAUCUAUGAUAGAAGGCUUCUUCUCAUCAGUUAAGACUCCAUGAAUGAAUUCGUUUUGACUAGCCAUCAGCUUGUUCCAUUCGGAAACAUAAUCACCAUCACAUGUAUAAUCUGUCAGCUUUUCCAUCUCUACAAGCUCCAGCAUCCACUUGAUUGACCUCUCCUUCAUCUUGGCCAUUAGACUAUGGCCGGCACGCCUUGCUGACAGCUGCAGCUGAUGAUAGUUAUCCGUAUAAUGCAUCAACACAGAAAUAACCACCUCUUCAAUGUAGUUCCACACUUUUUCCUCAAAUGCAAUCGGAAUACUCGAAAUUUCAUUCACUUUUGCCUGCAAGAUAAUGAGGAAAGCAUUGCGUGGAAGGAAGUUCGGAAGUGAAAUACCUUUGGCCUCCUCCAAGAUCCUGAUCUCCUCCAUCAAGAAGUUGCUCUUUGCAUCAGUUUCAGCACAUCUGUGAAGUUCAUCCGAGUACUGGUUGAGCAUCUCAACCAAUCUAGCAGUGCAGUGCAUGCGAUUGUCUUCCGCGUACUCCUGAAAUUCUCCUCUCAAAAGAAUCUUCCUAAGCGAUUCCUUAGCCAAGCCAGUGAUUUGCAUAAAAGCCGUCAUGGCCUCAGCAACCGAUGAAAGACUCUUUGGCAUUUUGUUCAGCUCCAUAAUGCAGAAGUUCAGCCUGUCAUUGAUCUUCUUCACUAUCUCAGGUAUAUUUCUUGCUAUGCUGUUUGCUUGAAUUUGGACCAGCUUCUGUGCUAAAACUGGAAUGCCGACAAUGGACUUGUCAAUCUUCGAAAGCAGAGGAUGGGUUUGAAAUAGUUCAUGAGCCAUCACCGCUGCCUCCUCAUCAGUUUCGUCACCAAUCCUGUUCCUUACACAGACAUAACCAAGACCAAUGUUUACAUCAUCUCCAGUGACCUUCUCAAGUAGUCCUUCCGGUGCCUUGUCCACUUUCGUAACCACAGCGAGCGUCCUCUCACCAGUUUUAUCUACACUUUGUGACAUCCGGAUUGACUCACACGUAGUAAAAUCCACCGUAGCAGACAAUACAUUCAGAAUAAUACUUUCCUCCGGCUUAAUAUACUCCAUGAUCAUAUCUUUGAUCUGAUCAUAGAUAUUUUCAGGUUGGCCAUGGACUGGAACCCUUGUGAUUCCCGGAAGAUCAACCAUAGUCAGAUCCGGAACCCCAUACUUCUUCACCAACAAAGUAAGUGGCGUGUUUGAAAUUCCCUUACCUCCCCCCGCAAUAGAAUUAGUAGCUUUCACAAUAUCUUUGGUGAUAUUUUCUUCAUCAGUACGAUCAACUCUGCCAUUGUACUCCAAGGAAAGUUCAGGCUGAGGACUCGAGUGGUGUUCGAGCCUCAUAAUAAGAGGCACUCUCGUGCAGAUGCCUUGGCCCCGAGGUAGGCUGAUGCCGGCCAAGGAUUCGAGCACGCUAGACUUCCCGGAUGACUGGUCUCCGACCACCACAAUCGUUGGCAGCUGAAUGCCUUCAUCCAUCACCUUCAAGCUGCGUAACUUGUCUACCGCAUCCAGAAGAGGGCGGAUCUUGUCGUUAUAGGACGACACAAUGGGUGCGCAUUUGAGGGGUACUGCGUCUAGUCCUGCCUGAACCAUUGCGAGGGAGCCUUCACCGUUUAUAACUGUGCGACUCGAUUCCAUUUUCCUUGGUCCUUGCGUUUCUGAAUUAUAGCAAGUCAAAACAAUGGUGAAAAAUCUAGAGGGAAACCGAGAUUGUAGAGAGAUGAGAGAGAAUUCGAAGAUGGAAAAUGUUCUGUAUUGGGUUUAUGACUUAAUGGAGUAAAAUGUUCUAUUUAUAGCUACUGCUAUAUAUCAUUCUUAGCCCUUAAGCAACUUAACUGACUCUCAAUCAACAAUAGCAACACAUCUAACAAAAAUGCUACUUUUCCGAUAUAUUUGUACCAUCAUUUGCUUACAUUGAUAAAUCGGACUCAUACUCAUAAGCUGACAUGGCAGCCACAUGACUUAAAAGUAAGAAGAUUACUUGUCAGCGAAGAUAUCAGUCAGGAAGAAGUGAGAAAGCUGGGUUUAGUAAGUGCCUUAGGCUUAAAGGCUCCUAGUUGUAUGUAUAAUUGUUCAGCAAAACCUAUCGAAGUAAAUGACAACCAGCCUUUUCAAAACCGCAUGCUGAGAGAGUUGUGAUUUGGACUUCCAAACGUUCAGCAAACCAAACCGCUUGCGAGCCUUUGAACUUCUAAACCCUAAUCAGUGUAAAUGUAAUAUGGACAGUUAACUGAUAACCAUUUUUUGUGCUUGAUGCUCUUGAACUUCAGUCAACCUUUAUAUAUUAUUCAUUCAAAUAAUCGAUGACUAGCUAGCCAAUGUAAGUUGUAACCCAACAGAGACGAGAUGUUGAAGAAAAUUAAAUAUUUUUUGUAAUUUGGUAAGACAAACAAAGGCACCCAUUGGAGAAAGGGAAGUGCUAGCAGCCUUUGCCCUAACAUUUGUGUUUGGACCUCUUCACUUUAACAACUAACAGGUAUCAUUUUCUAUACAAAAAAGCAAGAAUUUUAAAGCUUUUGUCUAGGAAUUAACGAUGAGAAAUAUAAAAUAUACAUUAUUAUGUCAUUCAUUAAAAUGAAAAUUUUCAAAUGCAAAAGUUAGUGCAAAAGUGUAUUUCUCUUAGAAAAAUUCAAUCUAACAACCAAAAUUAAAGUUAACAAAAAAAAGUAGAGAACUUAAUUCAUAUUGAAUCUACCCUUAUGAUCGUGCUCCAGAAAAAUUGAGAAGGAUGCAGGGUUUUUGAAUUUGGUAAAGCUUAAGGAUUAAGGUUGCUGUUUUUUUUUUUUUUUUUUUUUUUUUUUUUUUUUUUUGGAGAAAAGUGGAAGAGAAAGAGCCUUUGAAGAUUCCUUUCUGAGUUUUCACAUUGUGGGGAUUUUGUUUCACUUUUACCAUUGUAAGACCAUAGAUAAUGGAUGCUGACAUGGUUGGACAGAUGUCGAAUAGUGGUGUGGUAUGCCCAAUCGGUUUAGGUUGCUGAAAAUAGCAACUUUAACUAAAAAUAGUGCAGGACUUUAAAAGAGGAAGGGGAAAUAAGAGUUUGAGGAAAAAGAGGCAACUUUAAUUCAUCAUUUCAUAGGUUCUUUACGCUCUCCAUUAUUACAUAUUUAUGCUCCUCAUAAAAGAGAAAAUAGAGUUUUAACGAAAAGCCCGCGGUACUGUUCACUUUAAUGAAAAACCACAUUUUUACACUAAAAAGUCAAAUCUGGUACUAUUCAUAUUACUCUUUAUUUUGUUCUUAUCGUUAAAAUUCAAAGUUUUAAAGCAUUUUUCAUUAGUUUUCCUAAGAGAACAACCCUAGCUACUUGGACAUAAAAAAAAAGGCUAGUACGGGCAAGUUGCAAGAGGAGAAGUAGUGGGCUCAAGUAAAUGGGCUUAAUAACUCCCCCCUCUCCUUGAGAAUAGGCCUGACCUUAGGUCAAGAAAUCGAGGUAACGGGCCAAGAUGUCGUCAGCUUCCUCCCAGGUGACAUCUUCAGUGGGUAGGCCAACCCACUUGAUCAACCAUUUUGUCGCAGCUUUAUUUUUUUUUCUUGAAUAUGCCCUUGUCUAAAACUCUUUCUGGUUGCCAGUGUAGAACCCCAGUGGAGUCGAUAGGAGGCAAAACUGACAGUGGAGGAGAAAUACUACCAAUCUUUUGUUUAAGGAGAGACACAUGAAAGACGGGGUGGAUUUUGGAGUCUAAAGGCAAACGAAGCUGAUAUGCUACGAAACUGAUGCGCUUAGUUAUCUGAAAAGGUCCAUAGAACUUGGGUGCCAGCUUGUUUGUUGUUCUAGUAGCCACUGAUUGUUAGCGGUAUGGUUAAAGCUUCAGGUAAACCCAGUCACCAACAUUAAAUUCCCGCUCAGUUCUCUUGUUAUCAUAGACUUGUCUCAUUUUGUUCUCUGCAAGCUGCAAAUUUGUUCUCAUAAGACAGAUUAAUUUGUCCUUAUCCUGUAUUGCAGCAUCAAUUGAGUGUACCGUCGUGGAGCCGAGCAUAUACAUGCAAAGGUGGUUCAAUGUCAUAAACAGCCUGAUAUAGAGACAUUUUGAUGGAAGAUUGGAAGCUUGUAUUAUACCACCAUCUAGCCCAGGGAAUGAGAGAAGACCAAUUGGUGGGUUUGUCUAUUGAGAAACAUCGAAGAAAAUGUUCCAAUGUGCAGUUAAGGACUUUCAUUUGCCUAUUCGUUUGAGGGUGGUAACCUAAACUUAGGCAAAGUUUGUUGCCUUGGAGUUUAAAGAACUCUUGCCAAAAGUUACUAAGAAAAUUGGGUCGCGAUCUGAAACGAUCUAUUUUGGCAUACCAUGGAGUCAGAAAACCUCAUUGCUGAAAGUAUCAGCUACAAAGGCAACUGUGUAUGGGUGCUUUAAUGGGAUAAAGUGGCCAUACUUUGAUAGGCGAUUGAUGACAACUAGGAUCACGGUGUACGCGUUGGAAAAUGGGAGCCCUUUGACAAAAUCAAGAGUGAUGUCCUGUCAUAUGCCAGUGGGGAUGAGCAAGGGAUGCAGUAACCUAGGAGGGUGUUUUGUAUGCAUUAAGCCACAAUUUUUUUUUGUUUCCUUUCGAAUUCCCGGCCAUAAAACUUUUUUGGAGAGUCUUUUGUAUGUUCAAAGGAAGCCCAAGUGACCAUCUUAGAGAGAUGCAUGGAAUUCAUCCAAGAGUUUAGGUUGCCAUUGGGAUGUGAGUAGUGGGACAAAGAUCUGUUGCUUGUAGUGCAACACAUCAUUUAUAAUUGAGAACCCUUUGAUUGAAGUGUUGGGUAUUGGAACUAAAAGAUUCCAAACCUUUUGCACUUCUAGAUCCUAUGCAUAAGACUGUUGCAACUGAGGAAUGCAAUCAAAUAUAGGGGUAGAGAGGCCUAUUAAGAGCAAAAGUUCUUGUUGGCAGGAGAUAGCAUAUGGAGCACUGUUUUGAGAACCCGACCUAUACUCGACCGAGUAGUUGUACCCCAACAAUUUCACCAGCCAUUUUUAAUUUUUUUCACAAAAACUGUAAGUUAUAACUCACGUUUUCCAAUCGAUUUUAAGAACUUUUACAAGAUUCAUUAUAAGCCAAAAUUUGAGUCGUUUUAGUCGCACCACAUGUUUUCUAAAAUUAAUUUAGGACAUCCCAAAUAUUUUUCAACACCUACAAAUUUCUUUGGUGGCUUCACUAUUAGUUUAUACUAUUUUUCUAACUCAUAGUAACAACGAAAAAAUUUCUCAGCAUGACCAAAAUGAUUGAUGGUGCAUCAGAGACUACUUUUAUCGAUUUCAAAUUUGAAGGACUAAAGUAAGGAGUUAUGCCAGAAAGUGGCCCUCUACCACAGUGGUGGAGAGGAGUAUUGGCCUUACACUACGACAGAGCUUCGAACCAUGACGGCUCCCUAAUCUAACAUCUAAUUAAAAAAUCUAUUGUUUGACGAAGAAAAAAAAGUAAGGAGUUAUGUCAAUUUCAAAAUCCGUUUUGGCCCCUUUUUAACAUGGAUGGAGGGUUUCAAAUUCCUUGUUACUACCUUUUAGGGGUUUUAUUAAAUUUUAUGAAUUUUUUUGUUGGUAUAUUUGAGCGUGUCUUUAAAAUGAUUAAAAUUGUUUUAAUAUAAUAAAAUAAAAAGUGUUUAUGACAACAUUUUGACCAAAAAAAGGACUUUAUGGAGAGGUCUAUGAGCAAAAUGCAACUCUUACUACCUAUUUGUACUAUAAUUUGUACCACUAAUAAAGAUGAGACUCACAUGCGUUGGCGAGCCUUACCUCUAUUAGAGAUAUAGUAGAAAUAUAUGGUAAAUGUAGCAUUACUCGUCUAUGAGUGUUUUCAACGGAGUACAAUUCUCUGUCAUCCUAUUCCUAGUGUGGUUUAGUCCAUACUAAGUGUAUGGAUUCUAACAAACGAUCAAUUAAAACAUGAAAUCUAAUAUGGACAUUUAAUUAAAUGUUUAUUAAUAUUUACGGUGCGGUUCGGUUUCGGUGUAGUUUUCAAAAGCCAAAACCGAAACCAAACCGUUUUCUAUGUUGCGGUUCGGUUUCAAAACCGAAACCGUUUCAAAACCGCAAAACCAAACCAUUCGGUGCGGUUUGAUUUGGUUCGUGUUUUGGUUUCGGUUUUCGGUUCUAAGUGCCAAUCCCUAGGAGAGCGUGUCCCUUUUUUUUGAAAAAUAUGGAUCAUUUCCCUUAAGCUCCUCCUACACACACACACACACACACACACACACACACACACACAUAUAUAUAUUAAAAUGAUAACCUUUCUUGGAUAGAACUGAGCAUAUAAACAUGCAAAGGUAAUGUUAGAGAGACCAAAGUUUUAAACAAAAUAAUGUGUUACCAAUAAAAAAUAAGCACGUUAAUCAACGCUAAAGUAAUAAUUCAAUUAUCAAUAAGCACAUCAUUUGGUUUGUAAAUUUGAUUUAAAAAAUUUGGUCUCCCUAACAUUAUCCAACCUGCAAACAAGUUUAAUUAUCUUAGACAAGCAACAUUAUUUACAUAUUUACUUUCAGGCAAUUACAAAUUUGACGUCGAAAAGAAGAUUUAAGGAAAAUGGUUUUCUUAUUAAUUAGGAUUUUUACAAUGCGUGUCGCAUUCUUUACCUAAAGUUUUUAUGUCUGUCAGAUUGGUUAUGAAAGCUCACUGUCAUAUUAAUAAACGGUAUUAUAAGCAGAAAACAUGAGACAAAAAAUAGGAGUUAAACUGUAUGUAAGAGGAAAUCGCACUUAAAUUUCAUUAAUAACAGUAAACUUGACAAGGAUUACCACAAUCAUACGACUACGGACUAUUACACAACAAGAACACAAGGGAAACAAAAGAACUUAAAAACAAAAGUUGACUAACAAACAACCACCCACAUCAGACAACAGAAAGCUAAUUGCCAAGUUAGUUAAUCACCAUAAGUGAUAAUGCUGUCCAUAAUCUUGGCCACCACCUCCUUCGAAUCCCUCAGUUUUUUUAUGCUUUUGUUAAGCUUCUCACGCUUUACUGCCACUGCCGGGGACUCCUCCAACAUCCUCUCAAUUCCCCCACCGUAAGGUCCCAUCAACUCAUUCACAAUCUCAGGCUCCAUCUCUUUGUUCACAAGGUUGAAAACAGACAGCUGCAAGUGCAAUGCCAUGGAGUCCACAAGCCUCCUCAAAACAACCUUCCAAUAAGCAAUCAUUCUCAUUUUAAGGUCAUAAGCUUGAGCUAACACAUGCGGGUACAUCCUCAGAACACCGACUUCCACUUCCCCGAUGCCUUCUAUAGUUAUGAUAGAAGGUUUAUACUCGUCAGUUAAGACUUCAUGAAUGAAUUGAUUUUGACUAGCCAUCAACUUCUUCCAUUCGGAAACAUAAUCAUCAUCACAUGUAUAAUCCGUUAGCUUUUCCAUCUCUACAAGCUCCAGCAUCCACUUGAUUGACCUUUCCUUCAUCUUGGCCAUUAGAUUAUGGCCGGCACGCCUGGCUGACAGCUGCAACUGAUGAUAGUUCUCCGUAUAAUGCAUCAACACAGAAAUAACCACCUCUUCAAUGUAGCUCCACACUUUUUCCUCAAAUGCUAUCGGAAUACUCGAAAUUUCAUUCACUUUUCCUUGCAAGAUAAUGAGGAAAGCAUUGCGUGGAAGGAAGUUCGGAAGUGAAAUACCUUUGGCCUCCUCCAAGAUCUUGAUCCCCUCCAUCAAGAAGUUGCUCUUUGCACCAGUUUCAGCACAUAUGUGAAGUUCAUCCGAGUACUGUUUGAGCAUCUCAACCAAUCUAGCAGUGCAGUGCAUGCGAUUGUCGUCCGCAUAGUCCUCAAAUUCUCCUCUCAAAAAAAUCUUCCUAAGCGAUUCCUUAGCCAAGCCAAUGAUUUGCAUAAAGGCUGUCAUUGCCUCGGCAACAGAUGAAAGACUCUUUGGCAUUUUGUUCAGCUCCAUAAUGCAGAAGUUCAGCCUGUCAUUGAUCUUCUUCACUAUAUCGGGUAUAUUUCUUGCUAUGCUGUUUGCUUGAAUUUGGACCAGCUUCUGUGCUAAAACUGGAAUACCGACAAUGGACUUGUCAAUCUUCGAAAGCAGGGGAUGGGUUUGAAAUAGUUCAUGAGCCAUCGCCGCUGCCUCCUCAUAAGUUUCGUCACCAAUCCUGUUCCUUACACAGACAUAACCAAGACCAAUGUUUACAUCAUCUCCAGUGACCUUCUCAAGUAGUCCUUCCGGUGCCUUGUCCACUUUCGUAACCACAGCGAGCGUCCUCUCACCAGUUUUAUCUACACUUUGUGACAUCCGAAUUGACUCACACGUAGUAAAAUCCACCGUAGCAGACAACACAUUCAGAAUAAUACUUUCUUCCGGCUUAAUAUACUCCAUGAUCAUAUCUUUGAUCUGAUCAUAAAUAUUUUCAGGUUGGCCAUGGACCGGAACCCUUGUGAUUCCCGGAAGAUCAACCAUAGUCAGAUCCGGAACCCCAUUCUUCUUCACCAACAAAGUAAGUGGCGUGUUCGAAAUUCCCUUACCUCCUCCCGCAAUAGAAAUAGUAGCUUUCACAAUGUCUUUGGCGAUAUUGUCUUCAUCAGUACGAUCAACUCUGCCAUUGUACUCCAGGGAAAGUUCAGGCUGAGGACUCGAGUGGUGUUCCAGCCUCAUAAUAAGAGGCACUCUCGUGCAGAUGCCUUGGCCCCGAGGGAGGCUGAUGCCGGCCAAGGAUUCGAGCACGCUGGACUUCCCCGAUGACUGGUCUCCGACCACCACAAUCGUUGGCAGCUGAAUGCCUUCAUCCAUCACCAUCAAGCUGCGUAACUUGUCUACCGCAUCCAGAAGAGGGCGGAUCUUGUCGUUGUAGGAUGACACAAUGGGUGCGCAUUUGAGAGGUACUGCGUCUAGUUCUGCCUGAACCAUGGCGAGGGAGCCUUCACCGUUUAAAUCUGUGCAACUCGAUUCCAUUUGCCUUGGUCCUUCCGUUUCUGAAUUAUAGCAAGUGAAAAUAAUGGUGAAAAUUCUAGAGAGAAACCGAGAUAAUUUCAAGCUUAAUUAGCUAAAGAAUUGAGGUUCUCUGGCAGUUUACCCUCCAGUUUAUAACAUUUUUUUACUAAGAAUGUUUUCAGGUAAGGGAAAACACCACUUUCGUGAUCCAGUAGGAAACGGAGCCUUUCUUUCAACCGCUGCAUUUCCACAAACUCAAGAGACUCUAAUACCCGAAAAGGCAAGUUACGCUCUCCUUAAAACUCAGCACCAAUUCGAAGAUGGAGUAAAAUGUUCUGUAUUGAGUUUGUGACUUAGUGGAGUAAAAUGUCCUAUUUAUAGUGAUGCAGUACAAGACUCUCAUGCAUGUAUUGGAAUCUACCAAGAGUUGGAACCAUCAAAUAUAUUUAAUGGAGUUUUAGAGCAACACAACUAAUUAAGUAGUCAUUUAAGACCAUUUUAAAUAUUUUGGGUAGAGCAAAAGUCCAAUUCGGACUAGAGUUUCAUUGUGUUGUAUUCCUUAUAAAUAUAUGUACUAAUUGUAUUCCUUAAAUGACUACUUAAUUAGUUGUGUUGCUCUAAAACUCCAUUAAAUAUAUUUGAUGGUUCCAACUCUUGGUAGAUUCCAAUACAUGCAUGAGAGUCUUGAUUACUACAUCAUUUAGCUACUGCUAUGUGUCAUUCUUAGCCUUCAAGCAGCUUAACUGACUCUCAGUCAACAAUAACAACACAUCCAACAGCUUAAGGAUUGCUGUUUUUAGUGGAGAAAUGUGGAAGAGAAAGAGCCUUUGAAGAUUCCUUUAUGAGUUUGCACAUUGUGGGAGAUUUUGUUUCACUUUUACCAUUGUCAGGCCAUAAUCAUGGAUGUUGACAUGGUUGGACAGAUGUCGAAUGAUGGUGUCAUUGGGCCCCCACCAUCAAAGAAAAAGCAGUCCCCAUGGGGCAUCUAAGCGGAAAGAGAAUCCAUUAUAGUAUAAAGAUUUAGCAUUCACACUCAUAGCUUCGACAUCAAUCAUUUUCUUCCUUGCCGAUGUUCUUUAUAUUUUGCUUUCUUUAUUUCUUGAUAAGUUGUUUCUGGAUGAUAUUUUUUUAGAAUCUCUUGGAUGUCGUAUGCGUGCUACGUCACUCGUUUGUAUCAAAACACGCAUAAACAUUAUUUCUUUCAAUCGAGAUUUAAAAUUAAAAGUCUACAUACACUUUUUUGUUGUAAUUUGACUGAUGGACCAUAAUGUUGGAUUGUGAACUACCUUAGUACAUAUGUGUAGAAGUGUGGCAGGUGACGUAAGCAUAAAUAAUCAUUUUAACAUGCAUGUUAGCAAAAUGUUAAAUUGUGUUUAAUCAUAUUAAAUUAAUUUAUGUAUUGGUUUUGUUCAGGUAUAAUAAAAUUAAAAACACAUGUAUAAACUUAGUGUAAGUUUUAGGAUUCUCACCUUUAGAUUUCAUAGGUGGACAAAUUCAAUGUUGUUAAAGAUCCCAAGUGUUAGCCCUCAACUAGUGUCUACACGAAUAAAUAUCUGGCUAGUGAAGCAAAAAAACGACAAUUUGCUAGAACUUUAUCCAUCAGGUAGGUGUUGCCAUAAAGGGAUUUGGUAUGGUGUUUUGUUUUUCAAUUCUCUAAAUUGGAAAACCUAUUUCUUUUCUCUCUAAUAUCUAUUUGCGAUUAUUGAAUUCUCACACUAUGUUACAUAGACCCCUUAGGCUUAUAAAAAGAACAAUCUGUAAUUAAGCCAAUUGUGUGUUGCACGCCCUAGGGAAAUUUUUUAGAAACUUUUGGGUUCACUAGUCUGUAUCACGUCACUCGCUUGUCUCAAGAAGAGAUCCUUUCACAUCACCAGUUUACCACACUAAAAUUUUGAAUUUAUUAGAUGGAUAAUACAAUUUGUUUAAUAAAUGACCAACUUUACAAAUAUUUUUGUGAAGUGAUUUCACACAUAUUUUUUAGCUUUUACACACCCAUGUUUAAUUUUAGAUGUUGAUUCCGUUUGAUUUAUUUAAUCUGGUGGCCAUAAAUAAAGAGAGGUACGUGGAAAACUAAAAAUGGUGUGUGAAAAUCCUUGACACUACUAAGCAUGAAUUUUAGUAAGAUGAAAAAAGACCUUCGCUUGAUACCCGUGGGAGGACGUGACAUGACUUCCUUUAUUGAAGGAUGAGGAAUGCUAAUGUGACUUUCAAAAGUAGGACUUUCUAAUGACUCUCUGCCACCUCAUAGCUAGUUUAAUGUCAAUUCAUUCACGUGCCAACAUUAUAACACAAAUGCUAGGAAGGCUACAUUUAUAGACAAAAUUUGUAUACUAAAUGACAUGAAAGUUGAUGAUUAUAUUAUUAUUUAAGCGUUGAUAAACGUGCUCAUUUUCUAUUGGUAACAAGUCAUUUAGUUUUCAAAUUUUGUCUACAAAUUUAGUCUCCAUAGCAUUACCUGCAUUAUAAAGUAUUGUGCCAAAUAUAUGAGCUGACAAAGAGUCCAUAGAGAGUCUCAAUUUUGAGUCUCAUUAGCAUUUAUCUUCAAGAAUUUAUCCACAUUCUCCUCACGUAAUAAUUUCACCAAAAAUGUUUUCUAAAUGCUCACUUAUCAAGAUUAAACCCCCGUUUGGUAUUUUAUUUUUUGGGUAAAAGACUGUUUACUACCCUCAUGUUUCGUGGUUUUCAACAUUUAGUACAUCAUGUUUUUUUCGUCUCAGAGUCAUACCUAAAGUGUAAAUUUUGGGACAGUCUCAUACAUCCGUUAGUCAAACUGUUAAGUUUUUCGUUAACUGUGACGUGGCGCACUGACUGGGCGCCACGUGUCAUCCACGUUUUUUUUUUUUCUUUUUCUUUUUUCUUUCUUUUCUUUUCUUCUUCUUCCUUCUUCUUCUUCUUCCUCCGACUGCAACUUUUUUUUUUUUUUUUGCUUCUUCCUUUUCCUUCUUCCUUCCUUCCUCCUUCCUUUCCCUUUCUUCCCCUUCUUCCUUCUUCUUCCUUCUUCUUCCUCCGAAAUCUGGGGAAUGUUUUUUUUUUUCUUUCUUCUUCUUCCUCCUUCCUUCCCCUUCUUCCUUCUUCUUCUUUCUCCUUCUUCUUCUUCUUCUUCUUCCUCCGAAAUCUGGGGAAGUUUGUUUUUUUUUUUCUUUCUUUCUUCUUCUUCCUCCUUCUUCUUCUUCUUCUUCUUCCUCAAAAAAAAAAAAAAAAAAACACUUUUAUCUUUUCUUCCUCUUCUUCUUCUUCUUCUUCUUCUUUCUCUUUCCUCCUUCCUUCUUCUCCUUCUUCUUCUUCUUCUUCUUCUUCCUCCGAAUCUGCCCAGAUUCAAUUUUUUUUUUCUUCCUCCUUCUUCUCCUUCUUCUUCUUCUUCCUCCGAAUUUGGGGGAAGAUGAAAGUGUUUUUUUUUUUUUGAGGAAGAAGAAGAAGAAGAAGAAGAAAGAAAGAAAAAAAAAAAAAACAUUCCCCAGAUUUCGGAGGAAGAAGAAGGAAGAAGAAGGAAGAAGGGGAAGAAAGGGAAAGGAAGGAGGAAGGAAGGAAGAAGCAAAAGGAAGAAGCAAAAAAAAAAAAAAAAAAACAAAAACAGAAAGUUGCAGUCGGAGGAAGAAGAAGAAGAAGGAAGAAGAAGAAAAGAAAAGAAAAAAAAAAGAAAAAAAAAAACGUGGAUGACACGUGGCGCCCAAUCAGUGCGCCACGUCACAGUUAACGAAAAACUUAACAGUUUGACUAACGGAUGUAUGAGACUGUCCCAAAAUUUACACUUUAGGUAUGACUCUGAGACGAAAAAAACUUGAUGUACUAAAUGUUGAAAACCACGAAACAUUAGAGUAGUAAACAGUCUUUUACCCUUAUUUUUUUCAACAAAAGUUGCUUCACUUUAAAGUUAAGCAGUAAGAAUGUGUUUGGUAAAAAUAAAUUAUUUUGCUUAUAUUAAAAGUAAUGCAUGUCCUCCAGACAGCAACUUUUAAAAGCAGCAUGUAGGUAAAGCUGUUUUUAAUAAAAAGCAGAAUUGAGCUUUCAAUGAAUAUUUUUAAUUCCUGUAAUAUGCUCAAUAAUUUUAGAAAAUAACAUUAUUUAUUCUUGUAGGCACAUUUUAUCAUUGGAGAACAAAGUGACCACCACUAUAAACCCUAACCUCUUACACUACCAUUGCCAUGAUCACCACCAUUGUUGCCACCACCACCACACUACAAUUGCGCCACCACCACUACAACCAUACACACCACCGCUACCUUUGCCAUCAUUACCACCACACCGCCGCCGCCGCCGCCACCACCACCAUAAACACAACUGCCACCAUCAAUGUUGUUGCCACCCCUACGACCAAUGUUGCCUCUGCAGCCCAACCACCACCACCAUCCCAACCCUUACCCUUAUCACUGUUGUCGUCGUCACCACCAACAUUGUUACGUCUAUUUUUGUCAUUAUAUACAAUUAUAAAUUAUCAAACGCUUUUACGCCGUUUUUCAUACUCAACACUUUUAAAAAUACAAUUCAUCUAACACUCAACUGCUUUAUUUUGUAGCAGAUUAUUCUUAAAGCACAUCAGAAGCACUUUUUUUUAAAGCACAUCAAUCUCAAAAUGGCCGUAAGAUUAUGAGUUUUUCAAUUGAGAUAAAUAUAUAAUUUAUUUGACCAAAACGAUUUUAAAUUAUUUGUAAUAAGAUCACGCGAAAGAAGAACAUAAACGUUACACAUGAAAUUAAACCAAAGCAAAUGAUUUUCUUGGGUUUUAACACCCAUAUAUUUUUUGUUGGUUUAUCAUUUUCACCGAGCUCCACCUCAUUUAUACUUAAAGAAAUGUAUUAUGUUCCGAUCCAGAAACCAAGCUCCACCUCAUCAAUACUUGGAUAAUUUGAUGCAUUACUUUUGUUUCCUUUCUCAAUUUGGAGGCCCAAACAAGAAACAAAGCUACACUAGACAAAGACAACUGCUGUAUAGUGGGUGUUUUAGAAACUUAAAGGAAAGAAACUCAAAAGCUUCAAUUUGUUUGUCGUGCUCCUUUAACUUCCUCUUUUACUGUUAUACAAGCGAAAACAAGAGAGAUUUAAUGAGUAAAGGGAUACUUUACGCCUUGAUAUACAAGUUUAUUGUCAUGAUCUAGCAAGGUUUCUUCUAAGGAUCUUGGCUUUCUUUGUCUAUAAAGAAGUUGGGUUUUUGGUUGUUUAAUUAAUUUCUACUAGAAUUGCAAGAUAAAAAGGGAUACAAACACUACAAGAAAGCCGGGCUUAUGUGACGACAGAUAUUCGUCAUAGAAAAUAAAAAUGCGUCACAUUUGAUAAUAUGUGACGCCUUUACAGCGUCACUGCGAACGUCACCUAUGAUGCGUCACGGAAAGUAUAAGUGACUAAUUUUAAAAGCGCCACAUAUUUGUAGUAUAUGUGACACUGUUUUCGUCAAUUAAUAGGAGAUUGUGACGGAUUAGGCGUCACAAAAGAAUAAAUUAUGUGACCUAUAUAAUUCGUAAUGUAUGAAAUAGAUAAGUGACACUGAAGGCGUCACAUUUUUCUUCCAUUUGUGGCAUAGCUUGGGUCACUUAUGUCAAAAUAAAAUAUCUAUUUUGAAAAUAUAUGUGACAAACCAAUACAAUUCCCUAUUUAUAAUAUGAUGUUACAAUUCCUUGUUUAUAAAAAAGAAUCAAUUAUGUGACCUAUAUAAUUCGUCACUUAUGAAAUAGAUAACUAACACUGAAAGCGUCACAUUUUUCUUCCAUUUAUGGCACAGCCUGGAUCACUUAUGUCAAAAUAAAAUAUCUAUUUUGGAAAUAUAUGUGACAAACCAAUACAUAUUCCCUGUUUAUAAUCUGAUAUUACAAUUCAUUGUUUAUAAAAAAGAAUAAAUUACAUGACCUAUAUAAUUUGUCACUUAUGAAAUAGAUAAGUGACGCUGAAAGUGUCACAUUUUUCUUCCAUUUGUGGCGUAGCCUGGGUCAUUUAUGUCAAAAUAAAAUACCUAUUUUGGAAAUAUAUGUGAUAGACCAAUACAUAUUCCCUGUUUAUAAAGGAUCAAGGGACAAACAUUUUGACAAACAUAUAUAUAUAUAUAUAUAUAAUAUAUAUAUGUUUUUUUUUUUAAGAUGAUAACAUUUCCUGAAUAAAACUGAGAAGAUAUAUAAACCGGCAAGCAAGUUUAUUUAUCUUAAGAAAGUAACAGUAUUUCCAUAUUCACUUUCAGGUUAUUACAACUUUGACGUCGAAAAAAUAAGAACAUUUAGGGAAGAUGUUUUUCUCAUAAGUUAGGGUUUCUUCAAUGUUUGUCGGUUUCUUUACCUAAGUAAGUUUUUAUCUGUCAAAUUAGUUACGAAGGCUUACUGUCAAAUUGAAUGAAAGGUAAUGAAAGCAGAAAAUAGAAAACAAAAUAUCGGAGUUGACUAUUGGUAGGAUGAAUUUGAGUUAAAUUUCUUUGAAAACUUUAAAAUUGACAAGGAUUACCAAAACUAUACAAUUACCACAUAACAAGAACACAAAGGAAACUACGAGCUUGUUUGGUAUCCUAUUUGAAAAUUAUUGUCAUUUCUCAAAACAUUUCUUGAAAACAAUUUUCUUUAAGACUAAAAAACUUGACUGGUUUGCGAUUUACAAUUUUUAAAUCUUACAACUAAAAUUAGGCAAAGAGAUCUAAAAAGAGGGGAUCGUAGGAGAGGGAGAAAGAGGAGAGAAGAGGAAAGAAAGCAAGAGAUGAUUGAAGAAAAGAGAAAGAAGAGAGAGAAUCGAACAAAAGAGAGAGGAAGAGGAGUGAGAGAAAGAACAUAGAGAAUGAAAAGAGCAGAUUGAAAGAGAGACGAAACAUGUAAAAAAAUAAAAAUAAAGAGGAGAGAGAGAGAGAAGAAAAGAGAGAGAUUUGGAGUGAGAGGGGAGAAGGGAGAGAAGAAAAAAAAGUGUGAGUUUAAGUUUAAAAACUCUAAAAACUCACUUUUUAUGUUUUUAGAUAAUAGACUAUAUUUUUGAGUUAGUCUUGAGUUUAGUUUUUUAAGUAGUCUUACCAAAGACUAAAACUUGAAAAUUGUUUUUGAGUUUAAAAAAUUGGAUUCAAGGAAAGUAUCAAACAGACGCUAAAAAACUUGAAACAAAAGUUUACAAACAAACAACCAACGACAUAAGGAAAACAGACUGCAUACUUUUAUUUACACCAUUUUGUAGUACCCUCAAAACUAAUUGGCAAGUUAUUUAAUUACCAUAAGUGAUAAUGCUGUCCAUAAUCUUGGCCACUACCUCCUUAGAAUCCCUAAGCUUUUUUAUGCUUUUGUUAAGCUUCUCACGCUUUACUGCCAUUGCCGGCGACUCCUCCAACAUCCUCUCGAUUCCCCCAUCGUAAUGUCCCAUCAACUCAUUCAUAAUCUCAGCUUCCAUCUCUUUGUUCACAAGGUUAAAAACAGACAGCUGCAAGUGCAAUGCCAUGAAGUCCACAAACCUCCUCAAAACAACCUUCCAAUAGGCAGUCAUUCUCAUUUUAAGGUCAUAAGCUUGAGCUAAAACAUGCGGUUACUUCCUCAGAACACCGACUUCAACUUCCCCGAUGCCUUCUAUAGCUAUGAUAGAAGGUUUAUUCUCGUCAGUUAAGACUCCAUGAAUGAAAACAUUUUGACUAGCCAUCAACUUGUUCCAUUCGGAAACAUAAUCAGCAUUGCAUGUAUAAUCUGUCAGCUUUUCCAUCUCUACAAGCUCCAGCAUCCACUUUGACACGCCCUGAUCCGGAUGUCCUGGAGACAUCGGGAUAGUCACGUGCUGGCCGACACCCGAGGGGUGACGAAAGCCAUUUAAAAGGCAUAAGAACGAGAAAUAUGAAUUUAAUAUAACAUUUAAUAGGCAUUUAAGGAACGUGUUCAGAGCAUAUAACUAAUUAGAAUACUAGGAAAAAAAUGAUAUAAAAAUUGAAUAAACAAAAGGAGUGGGUCCUACACCGAGAGGACUCGAAGAUGCCAAUGUAGAAGUGUCUUGACGCCGGGAUUGUAUGCCUCGAUUCUAAGCCCUGAAGGGGGCGCAAAACAAAGGUGAGUGGACCAGUUUGAUAUACAUAUAAUAAAACAGUUAUCAACAUACUAACCCCCUGAUUUUUAUGAAAACACAUAUAUGUAUCAUGAUAAACAUAAGUUUUCCGAAACCUAGAAUGUCGUGCAAUAUCUCAAAUCAUAACUCGCAAAACAUAAUAAACACUAGUGUCAAAUGUCCACAUAUAUCCAUCCAGGCCCUAUGUCAUCUCCCCAUCCCUGAGCAUACAGUCAAAGAAAAUAUGACUUCAGGCCCUAUGCUAGCUCCACUGUCCCUGUUCUAAAUAGUCAGAGGGAAAUACACUCCAGGCCCUAUGCCAACUCCACCGUCGCCCGGGAUGGACCGAAAUCUAUCCCUACAUCCCGUAGCGGAAAUUGGGACAGCUAGGUAAUACAGAAUCAUCGCACAUAUAUUUAUUCAAAAGUAACAUCAUAUAUCAUUCUUAUAAACUCAUGCUUUUUAUGCGUGCAAUUCUACUAAUAAAGCAUGUAUUUUAGAAGGGGUCCACUCACAGUACUUCACCGUCGAAAGCCGCGCUGCUAACAAAGAUAGAAACGCCACAAUAAUUGCCCCUAAGCACAUAAACGUUCCAAUUAAUAAAUCUUUAUUAAAACAAUUGAAUUUGAGAAAACGGACGUCGAAAACGGAUUCAAGACGUUGAAUUACCUUAAGAAGGGUCCUGGAUAAAUUUCGUAAACGUCAAUAGAAUAUUCCACAUCAAGAGUUUGGGCCGGCUAGGGUUUAAGGGUUUAGUGCUUAAGGCCCUAGGUUAAAAAGGUUUGGGUUAGACUUUUAAAAAGGUUAGGCUUAGGUUAAAUAGGUUUAGGGCUUAGGAAGUUGGGUUGGGUCCUUAAGGGUUUUGGGUUUCUAGGUUAAAGGGUUAGGAAAUUGGGUUGAUAAAAAGGGCCUAGGGUAAAUAAUUGGGUUUGGGCUUAAAAGGGUCACGGAUUGGGCUGGAGACCCGUGGGUUUUGGGCUGGUUUCAAAGGACUUGGGUCGAGUUGAUUCGUUUUCAGGCCAAUGAAAUGGUCGAUUUCUGGGUAUCACUUCGAACGCCCAUAACUUCUUCGUUACUCAUCCAAAAUAAGUAAUCCAAACAUGAAAGUUGUAGUACUCGACGAGAUGAAGAGAUUGAUACCCUGCACUCCGCCAAACUCUCCGUGGUUUGGCCGGAAAACACCUCGAAAGGGGCGGUGCUCGUCGGAAAACUGGGUUUUUUGGCCGAAUGUUUGGGUAAUUUUCAAAGCUUUGUAACUUCUUCGUUUCUUAACCACAUUGAGUGAUUCAAAAUCUAAAAUGUAGUUAGGAAUGUGGAGAAGAGGUUCAUACCAAGUGAGGACCGAGUGGUUACCGGAGUUCACCGAAAAACGACCUGAAAAAUCAUAGCAAAAGACAGCAUAGUGAAAGAGGCUUGAGUUGUAGUGCUAGUUGCUGGAGUCGAAGAAGGGGUUGUGGUAGUGAGAGUAGAAAGAAACGGAGCGGAGGGAGUUGGGAAAGAUUGUGAGGUCGGUUUUGAGGUGGCAUUGGAGAAACUAGUGGAGAAACCAAAAGAGGAUUGCAAAGCGGAGGAAGCCAGAGUUCCGAAGGAAGAGAAUCUGGAAACGGUUAUUGAUGGGGGAGCAGCGGUGGUGGGAGCAGAGGUUGUGGGUUUCAAAAGAGAGGAGGAUGUUGGUAAUGUGAAAGCUGAAAAGGAAGUGGAGAAGCUUUGGAACCAUUGGGUGGUUAGAGCUAUAGAGGAUGACGGUUGGGACGAGGAAGUUGUGCCAGACAGCGGCGAGGGUACGCUGGGUGCAUAGGACGUUGUGCCAAACAAGUGCGAAGCGGAAGUUGAGGGGUUCCAAACAGGGGUGUGGGUGCGCUGGGUGCAAAUGAGGUUGCUCUGAAUGGGGAUGAAGUGGCGAAAGAAGGAGCGCCGAAUAGAAGGGACCAUUGGGUGGUUUGACCUAUAGAGGAUGAAGGUUGGGACGAGGAACUUGUACCAAACAGCGGCGAGGGAGCGCUGGGUGCAUAGGACGUUGUGCUAGACAACUGCGAAGCCAAAGUGGAGGAGGUUCCAAACAGGGGUGUGGGUGCGCUGAGUGCAAAUGAGGUUGCUUCGAAUGGGGAUGAAGUGGCGGAAGAAUGAGCUCUGAAUAGAGGGGACCAUUGGGUGGUUGGAGCUACAAAGGAUGAAGGUUGGGACGAGGAAGUUGUGCCAGACAGCGGCGAGGGUGCGCUGGGUGCAUAGGACGUUGUGCCAAACAACUGCGAAGCAGAAGUGGAGGGGGUUCCAAACAGGGGUGUGGGUGCGCUGGGUGCAAAUGAGGUUGCUCUGAAUGGGGAUGAAGUGGCGGAAGAAUGAGCUCCGAAUAGAAGGGACCAUUGGGUGGUUGGAGCUACAGAGGAUGAAGGUUGGGAUGAGGAACAUGUGCCAAACAACGGUGAGGGAGCGCUGGGUGCAAAUGAGGUUGCUCCGAAUGAGGAUGAAGUGGCAGAAGAAGAAGCUUCGAAUAGAGGGGAGACGGAUGCGGUGAAGGUGGUGGCAGGUGCGGAGGAUAUGAAUGGGGAGGUGCAAGAGCCGGAACAGAAUAAGGAAGGAGGGUUGGAGAAAAAGAAAUGGAAGUGGAUUGGGCGGAAGAGGAAGAAAAGGAAAAGCCAGUGGUGGACGUGGUGGCAGGUGUGGAGGAUAUGAAUGAGGAUGUGGAAGAGCCGGAAAAGAAGAAGAAAUGAGGGUUGGAGAAAGAGAAAGGGGAAGUGGAUUGAGCGGAAGAGGAAGAGAAGGAGAAGCCGGUAGUAGACGUGGUGGCAGGUAUGGAGGAUAUGAAUGGGGAGGUGGAAGAGCCGGAACAAAAGAAGGAAGUAGGGUUGGAGAAAGAGAAAGGGGGGUGGAAAAGGAAGAGAAGGAGAAGCCGGUGGUGGACGUGGUGGCAGGUGCGGAAGAUAUGAAUGGGGAAGUGGAAGAGCCGACUGAGAAGGAAGGAGGGUUGGAGAAAGAGAAAUGGGAAGUGGAUUGGGCGGAAGAGGAAAAUGCCGAGGAUUCAAAUAAAAAGCUCGACAUUGUUUUCUCUCUUCUGCUGCUGCUGCUGCUCUAUGUUAUUGAGAGGUUUUUCAAAUUUUGGGGUUUUUGGUUAACACAUUUCAAAGCCUUCUCUUUUCAUUUUCUGGUUGUCAAUGGCUUCAUCCGCCUAAGUUUUCACAUUCUGGAGAUUUUGUUUCACUUUUACCAUUGUAAGACUAUAGAUCAUAGAUGCUGACAUGGUUGGACAGAUGUCGAAUAAUGGUGUCGUUGCGGCCCCCACCGUCAAAGAAAAAGCAGUCCCCAUGGGCAUUCAAGCUGAAAGAGAACUCAUAAUUGUAUAAAGGUUUUGCAUCACAUUCAUAACUCGAUCCGAAAACUUCACAUCUCAGAUUUUCGAUCUGUAACUUCCAAAGAUUUACAUUAUGCUUCUAAAAUAAUAUACUAAAAUAUUACCAUGAUUCGACAGUCGGAUCUUCGCCAAUCAAAAUUCAAGUGGCAGUCAACAUUUUAUUUUGCGAACUUACUAAUCCAAUUCAGGAAGAUUCAUACGUCAAAUUCCCAAUCCGUAAGUUUCUAUGGUCCUCAAAUAUUACGUACUAUAAUGUAUUAAAGUUUUGUGCCAAUCCAACCAUCAGAUCAUCGAUUGCUAUAAUGUUAAAGAGGCAUACCUUAGAGAAAUUAUACCCAAACGAUGGAAUUUCAUUAAUCGGAUGUCAAAUAUGGAAUCAAGGCAUCCAAAUUAGCCUAGUAAGGUCAGGUGGGGUAUUAGCCUAGCGCUGCCGCACACGGCAACUGACCACCCCAACUCGUCGGAAAAUUCAACUAAUUUCAAAAAUUCUCAAAUUUUACCAGAAUGAAGAUCUCAAUUAGUAGAGCAAGUUUUAUACCUAUGGCCACACCUUAAAUCGCCACAAACCUACCGGAACCCUAGAAAUGGGUGGGUUUCAAUUCACCCUCUCCGAUGCUUUGACGUGCCAACCAAAGCUUGGGACUUGUUCCUGGGUUCAAGAGGUGCUGAAAUAUGGUAGUGGUUGACGAAAGAGCUCGCAGAAAUAGCGGAUUCCACUGUCGUGGCUUCGGAACACCCACCAUAGGGUUUGAAUGGAAAAGGAAGAGAUGAGGCCGAAGUGAUGAAUGGUGGGGGUGGAUGGUCACGAUUCACCAGAAAAAUGGCUGAAAUCACGACGGAAAAGGUGCAAGAAGUCUGGUCAUGAACCCGGUAAAAAAGGAUAUGGUGCUCCUCCACUCAAUAGCAAUUAAAUUGCUACCUCGAAAUAUUGAUCAUUUAAAUACUUGAUUGCAAUACUUAUCUGUCAAUCAUGUAUUAUGCUUAAAAUCUCUAUAUAACAUCUCAAAUGGUGCCAAACCAAAAAUUGAAAUAGUAAUCGUAGUUACAUGCAACCUUAACAAAGAUGAGUGUCUAUUACAAUCAUGCUAAAACUAUAGAACGGAUAAAUGCAACAUGUUCACAAAUGUCUGGAUAGUUCAUUCGAACUAGUAGUUAAUCUGAGGGUGAAAUGUGGUAAUACAUAAUAACUUUGUAACCAUGGUUUUCAAGAAGACUCCCAAAACUUGGAAGUGAUACACGCAUCAUGAUGAGGUACAACAAUGACAUGCACAUUAGGCAUCCAAACAUUAUAAUUCAUAUAUGUCACAACAAGUAGAUUCAUUAUGAAAAUUUCUCUCGAAUUUAGUGAAACACUGUGUCGAGAAGGCUAAAAGAACAAUCAAGAAUUUGAGAAUUAAAAUAAGUCCAUCAAUCUAGAAUACAAAGUAACUAGAUUAAUGCAUAACAUCUCACUACAAUGGUAGCUUCUAGAAUAUUCAAUCACCAACGGUAACGAUUCGCUUAGCAGAGUUUGUUGAGUGAUUGAGAAAUUAAUGGUCACAACUGCAAUUCCAAUGUCAAUGGUUCUUCUAGACAGUUUAUCAACUUCAAAAUAAUGCGAAGUGCAAUAGGGUAGGUAGUACCCAAGGUUGACUGGAAUGCCUUCUAACACAAAAGGUGAAUAUGAAAUCACAAUCAAAGUAGAUGUUGAUCAAAAUGUCAGAAAAUCUGAAAAAUUCAAGAAUGAGUAAUUUUCUCAAGUGAUCAAAAUGUAUUCCCUAUGGACCAAUGGAAAGUAAGCUAACUUGUCAAGUCGGCGAUAAUCACCGAAACAUCAUUGUAAUAUCCACAUAUACAAGAUACCUCAUACCAGGAGCUUAUGGUGAUAUUUCUCAUCUCCAUUUGGAUAUAGAAAGUGAAUAUAACCACUCGAACGAUUUCUUGAUAAUUUGUAAGUAACGUCAACCCAAUGCUCAUGAAUUCCAACUAAAAUGAAAUAGGACAGACUAAAAGCAUUUCGGGAGUAGAUAAUGUCUUUUGAUGUGGCAAACAGUAAUUACGUUUCCACAACGAGGAUGAUACACGAUUGUGUAAUUGUAGAUGUUAAUUUGGUUCCUCUAUCACCAUUGUCAGAAAUCUAUUUCUUUCCAAAUGGAUAUGUACUUGCGAGGUCUAAGAUUGAUAGAGAUUUUGGACACGUUUCUCUAUAGAGAAGUGUCAUUCAGUUUUUAAGUAAGAUGGUAACUAUUGACUCUAAGUUAUGAAUAAGAUGGUUCAUUCCAAACGGUUCUACACGUUGGGAAAUAUAAGCGAUUCUCCGUCAUGCUGCCUCUGUACAGCCAAAACAUCCAAAGAACACAUCAUCAUGGAUUUUCAAAAUAAUUAUUAUCAUCGAAAGGUGUAAAACGAAGGUAAGAUGAGACAACAAUUUAGUUGUCAGAAACUUUAUUCAUAAUCAACAUCAUAACUAAAUUAACUUUCCUCGAUCGUAAAUGAGGAAAAAACACUACAGCCGAAGGAUCGCUAACAAAUUGUCGAUAAAAUCGACAUGACCAAAGAUAUCUCGAACGUCACUACACUUCGUGUGAAUUUCAACUUUCUUCCACUAAACCCUUUUUGGAAAAGAAAAGAUUAUCGUUUACGAAGAUCACGUCUCCCAAGAAAAGUACCAAUUUAAUCAAAGUUAAUAGUUGAGCACUUUGGUAUAAAGCUGACUAUUGAUAUUUAGAGAAUUUGGUCUCACUGUCAAGGUAGAUGAAAAAGUCAUCGAUAAGACCACUAUGAAUACGUUAGGCUAUGGGAGAAAACUCAGGUUACAAAGGUUGGUCAGCUCGACCAUCAACUCGAAAUAGGGGCUAACGGUUUUUGGUCGUCACGUGAUUGAGUCGCUAAAGUCUAGGUACAACCCUAAGGUUCAACCUUUCGCCUUUACGAAUAGGUUUGAGAUUCUCUAGAUAAAGUGUUUGGUUAGAUACAGGGUCGGGCGUGUCAGUUUGGUAUUAGAGCGUGGUUUGUUCAUAGCAUACUUAGGAUCUUCUAUUAUUGUAGUAGUGUGUCGAUCAUGACGUCAUUUGGAUGUCACGACUUCCUGAUUUGUUGUCUUUCGGCACAGUUAUGCAACCCUCAUUCUGCAUGAAUAGUCACAUCUUAUGGAAGAAAAAGAAAAUUCGUGUUGGGAUUUUGCCUCAGUGUUGACGAAAUGGAUUGUUGAACAACUUUCAACAUCGAACUGAUACUCUAUAGCAUGCGUUCCCUAAGAAUUGCGAGUAGAGUUGGUGUUUACAUUGAAGUGACUAUCUAAGCCGAAGAAACUAUCAUAGACACUUAAGAGCAAGUCUUGUAGAAUGACUGUAACCUCCUAGUUGUUUUAACCAUGUUUUCCACUUAGGUAACCAAAACCUCUUCGUCUAGCCACAUUUUCGAUCACUUCCACAAGUGGACAAUAGAAUCGAAGUACAAGUUAACUUCUCAUUAUUAGAGUGAAGUAGCGUAUCGAGAAAGCUACAAAGACUUAUUAGCACGUGUCUACCCUGGUGUUCGGUAGAUAUCAGGGUCGGGCGUGUCAGCGAGUAUCUUUGACAUAAUUCAAAGACGUAGUAACUAAAGUAUGCUUAAUAGACCUCCAAGAAAUUGUGGUUCCACCAACAAUACCCAUUUAGGAUCUUGCCAUGUACGGAUCGAAUAAGUACAUAGCGUCAACAUAACCAACAAAAGCAACUCGAAAACUAGGGGGAGGGGGGACGGUUGCACUCAAAGUUGAGUAAGGAUAGGACAAACACAAGUCCACAACACUAUUAAGAUAACAUAGAGUUUUUUUAACACAUUUCAAUGUCUGCAUGUUGGCACAUGAUUGUGUUAUGCUAAGAGAUUUAUAAUGCAGGAGAUGUUAGGUCUUGUACACUGAGAUAAGUACAACAAAGCACCAAUUGCACUUAAGUAUGGAACCUCAGGUUCUAAAACUUCUUCAUCAUCUAUCUUUGGACGGUAUAGGUCUUAUUGUGCAUCAAGCGUACAGAUGACAAUGAGAGUACUCAAAGUCCACGCUUUAUCAUUAAAGCAUUGUAACAUCGUCUUGGUGUAGUUUGACUAGUUGACCAUGACUAAUGGACCAUAAUGUUGGAUUGUGAACUACCUUAGUAUAUAUGUGCAGAAGUGUGGAGGUUGGCAUAAACAUAAAUAAUCAUUUUAACAUGCAUGUUUGCGAAAUGCUGGAUUCCAUUUAAUCAUAUUAAAUUAAUUUAUGUAUUGGUUAUGUUCAUGUAUAAUAAAAUUAAGAACACAUGUAUAAACUUAGAGUACGUUUUAGAAUUCUAACCUUUAGAUUUCAUAGGUGGACGAAUUCAAUGUUGUUGAGGCUACUAAGUGUUAGCCGUCUACUAGUAUCUACACAAAUAAAUCUUCGGCUAGUGAAGCAAGAAGACAACGAUCUGCUAGAACUUUAUCUAUUAGGUAGGUGCUGCGGCAGAGGUACAAUGCAUUGUUAUGAAGUUGGUCUAUAUUGUCACGCCUCGCCCCGAAAUAUAAAUAUAUUAAAUCUUCGGCUAGCGAAGCAAGAAGACGACGAUCUGCUAGAACUUUAUCUAUCAGGUAGGUGCUGCGGCAGAGUGACAAUGCAUUGUUAUGAAGUUGGUCUAUAUUGUCACGCCCCGCCCCAAAAUAUAAAUAUAUUUCGGGAAUUAAUUAUGGUAGGCCCAACUUAAAAACGUAGUUAAUUUAUUUCCUUUAACCACAUCCCUCUAAGUCAAUAUUACUUACUAUUACAAGCUAUCCAUAUUUUCUUAAAAUGUCAAACAUAUCUUUCAUUUAACAAUUGAAUUCACUAAUAUUAGUUGUCAUUCUCCAAAUAAUUCCCUUCGUCCCACGUAGAAUCUAUAACCAUUAUUCGUUUACCAAGAUAUACAAUUUACUUUCCAAUUUAGAACCAUUUCCUUCUCUUAGAUCAAAUUCCAUCUAAACACUAAUUCUCGAUUAUUUAGUCUCACUUAUUUAUGGCUGCAUCUAACGUCUUGUUAGACUGCCUACGUACCCUAAACAAAGAUCAAGCCAUUCGUAGUUCACAAAUUCAAAUUCAAUUAAACUUUGAUAUUUCUACACAUAAUUAACAAUCACCAACUAGCUUCAAAUAAGUGUAUCACAUUAAAUACUUAUUUAACUUGAAUCCAAAACAUCAAAUUUAGCUUAAAAUACGGCAUCGGUUCCCUAGCCAUGCGUCGUCGCCGUCCUGACUUGCCGAAAAAUUCAACUAUUUCUAAAAAUUCUCAAAAAUUACAAAAAUGAAGAUCUCAAAGAGUAGAGCAAACUUUAUACCUAUGGCCAAGCCCAAUUUGGCCGGGAAACACCUCAAAUUGGCCACGAACUGCCGAAAACUCUUGUUUUGGGUGUUCUUGAUUUGUCUCCAAAACAACUUCGACGCCUCAACCAAUGCAUGGGCUUUGUUCUAGGCCUCAAGAAGAGUAUGAGAGUAGUGGUAAUUGAAUGAAAUCACUUCAAAAUUUGGUGAAUUUUGACACCUACACCGUCGCACCCACCGGUGCGUUUUACCCCAUUUCAAGGUCAAAUUUCAUGAUUUUUGGGGGGUAACAGGGUUAGGGAAGGUCAUUGAGGGUUUUCCAAGUGGUAGUUUAAAUUGAUUUGCUGGAAAAUGGGCUAAAACUCACCAAAAAUAGCAAGGAAAACCGACCGAAUCGAGUCGGGUCCUUUCAGGUCAGGGAUCCCCCGUACCCCUUUUCUCUCAUUUUCCCCCCUUUCUCCUUUCUCCCAUUGGUCAACCUCCCCCUAUUCCUUCCUUCCUUUUCUCCUUUCUAUUCUUUUCUUUCAAUCUCAACCGUCCAUUUCUUUAUUUAUUUUCAUCUCAGCCACACACGUGGCACAACCAUUGGAUCAAAUUUUCUGGAGCCUUCUACCAUAAAAUGAAAUUAUUAAAAUAUCCUUAACUUUAAACGUUAAUAUCUUCUUUGUUAUAACUUCGUUUCAUGAACGGUUUGUGCCUACACAUUCAUGAGAUCGAGCUCUAUUCAAAAAUAUAAAUUGUCACUCUGAAUAGUUUUCGGAUUUUUAAAUAAUAAAUUCCCAAACUUAGAACUUCUUAACCAGUUUAAUUUAAAACUAAACUCGAAUAAAUUAAUAUAAUUUCUUGAAAAAUAAUCUAAAAUCUCAAUCAUACAAAUACAUAAAUUAUAAUAAUUUCCGAAAAUAAAACUUUAAAAUUUUCCAAUUCUACUUUCAUAACCAUAAAUCGAUUUAUUUUCAAUUUUCUCCACAUAUUCAUAUAUUUAAAAUUUCAGGGUAUUACAUAUAUUGUAUUGGAAAAUAAACAACAAGAAAGUUCAGAUGCCAUACCCUUUAAUAGCCAUAACAAGUGUUGAAGUUGUCGAAGUUGUAGUUUUACUAGAACUGUUUGUUGUCGUUUCAGGUACAAUGUAAGGAAUAUUUCGUCAAAACUAGGUUUAUGGAUAAAAAAUAAAAAAAAACAUACCAACUCAAGCAGUAAGGAUAAACAACUAAAUUAUUCUAAACAAGUGAACUCCAAAUGUAAUGACCUGUCUCAAAAUUUUAUAAAUUUCAGAACGACAAGGGUAAAUUGGUAUUUUCACAUGUGAGAGAUAUUUGCAUGUUUGUCUCUUAUGACUUGUUUGGUGCGCCAAUGAGGCCCACCGCUUUUAUUUGGGGACUAGGAUUAUCUCUUCUGACACACCCUGACCCAAAAUAUCGAGAUGUGCUGGCAGUCACGUGAGGAUGACGUAGCCAUGCGCGUUGUGCGGAAGAAUUAAAGUGAAAGACAGUGAGGAAACGAAAAGUAAACCGAAUAAUUUACAUCAAAAGAUAAGUGAGUAAAAGUGAUGAAAAGGAAAGCAUAAAGCACCACAUCAAAGUUCAAGUAACCUAGGUGCAGUCCGGAAUAAACAAGUACUGAAUAAACGUUAACCAAAUAAAUCCUACAUGGAUGAUGCCUUGUUAAAACUGUCUCGAUGCCUCGCUCGCCACCAACGUCGCAACUACCUAAAACUUGGAGCGGCGCAAAACUGAAAACAUGAGUGGGUAAAAACAAAGUUUUUCCAAAACCGUUUCAAUAUCAAAAUAGUAACCCCUCUCCCUAUACUUUCUCAGAAAAUAUCAUCCAUACUCAAAUAUCAAUCAUGCUGGAAAACGAUAAAUCUCAAAUAUGCCAUGUUAGAAUACGACAUGUCGAAUUACCCAAUCAAAACAAAAUAAGUAUCAAGUAGGUGAGAUAAAUCAAAUCAUAAUAUGCCGCCAAUCUCAAUACGUCAGUUGGAGUCACCUAACGUGAACUGUACGACUGAAUAUAUAGCUCCUCAAUCACUAUCUUGCACACGAGUCGGAACCACCUAUAGUGGUCUGUACGACAGGCUGGGUGUAUAAUUACGCUCAGUGCUACGAUCACGUGAAGGCUGUGCAACGUAUCACAAGUCACCUAUGAGUCGGAACCACCUAUAGUGGUCUGUACGACAGGCUGGCACCUGCCUUGGGUCCAAGGUGAGCGUACGGUGCGGGAGGUGAACGAUCACGUGAAGGCUAUGCCGUACUCUGGCAGAGCACAAACACCGGGGUGCAGGAAUAUGAGCUAUAUCUCAAUCUCAUCAUCAUCACAACUAUCACUAACAAGUAUACUCACCUGACUUACCUGAGCGACGCCAAUUCAUAACCAACAUAAAUCAUAAUAAACAAUAAUGAUAUUCGACAUGGCAUUUCAAUUAUAAAACCAUUUUAAAACAUAAUAUCUGGGAAAAUAUCAAAUAUAUAUAUAUAUAUUCUGAAAACAAAAGCCCACUCACUGAUAAGUAGAAGGGUCUUAGCCCCCGAGCCUGGCAUGGCUGUGCUCGUCUUCUGGAUAAGCCUUACCUAUAUGUGAAACAACUAUAAAACCGUCAAUUAAACGCACAUAACCAACCUUAGGUAAUAACUUCUCAUACAUUGCUCAAUUGGAGGUGUUUGAAUCUAACAACAUGCUUUACUUAAUCUCAGAACACCCUCAUAUUUUUAGAAAAAAUUUCUUGUCACCCACGCGUAGGCACGUGCCUGGCACACGGACGGAACAGUUAAUGCCGUAAGGAAUAUUUUGUUAAAAAGUAACAGAUUCCAUUAAAUCUAACCUGACACUGUUAGAAUAUUCCAUCAAACUUGACGGAAUAUUCAUCGUCUCCUUCCUUGAGUCACGGGAGUCCGGCGCCGGUCGCCGUCUGUUUGCGGGUUUCUGGAAAAUUUUCAAAUGUUGAUAUCUCAGUCAAAUCUUAACUAAAUUUCACGAAAUUAACGUCAAAAUGAAGCUUAGGACAAGGGGAAGAAAUCUAUACCAAUUUGAGGUCCCAACGAUGCUGGAAUCUCGCCAGAGAAAUCUCGAAAAAUCUGAUCAACUAUAGAACUCAAGAUUUCGACAUCCAAAACACGUCAACGUUGCUCCCCAAGCUUCGUGAAGACGUCUAGAAACUCCCUGUGAUCUUAGAAUCUCUAAAAACCUCCUCAAUCACGAGUGCAUGAACAAUACCUUUAUUGGAGCUUUCAGGUUUCAAGGGUUUUCAAGGUUUUCAGGACAAACCAAGGGUAUAGUUGAACUUGCAAGGGUGCAAGGAGAAGCAUGUAUAUCCGUACUUAGGGUAUGGAAAAUAGAAGAAAAAUCGAGAAGGAGGGAGAGACAGAACCAGAAACAGAAAAGGAAGAAAAAGGGGUGCACGUGUGCAUGUGUGUGUAUAAGUUUAACCAAUCACACCAAAACUAAGCUCAAGUUCUAAUUGGGUCCAAUAAUUUGGGAUAUCACCCUAUUGGCCCAAUGUAGCUCACACACAUAACCACAAACACGUAAGGGUAAAAACGUCAAUUCAUGCCGUCGAUAAAAUUAUUUCGGGACGGUCUGUCACAUCCUCUCUUUUUUCACCCCCUUCUUUAAUAUUCUUUAUUUUGUAUUUUUUUAUAUAAAUAAAAUAUUAAUAUAAAAUGUAAUCAUGAUCUAUUUGAACGGAAAUUGGAUGGAAAAAAAAAAGAUGAGAGACUUCUCAUUUAUUUGGUCUCCUGGUCCUCCCUCUCUCUUCCUUUUCCCCGUCACUCUCCUCUCAUCUUGGACUAUCACACUCUCUAACUCUCCCGGCCCUCAUCUCUCUCGCACGACCCUCAUCCUCCUUCAAAACCCAAAAAACUGGCGAUUCCACGGAACUGAAACCAAGCUGAAGUCCCCAUCCUUCUCUGUUCCCCCAUCAUCACUGUUCUCUCCUCCCUCGGAACCCUGCAACAUCACCAUCGCGGCAGAGCCGCCUUCUCCGGCGAGUUCGUCGAUUUCCCGACUUGGGGUAAGCCUCGGGAUGCUUAAGAUCUUCAACUGUUACUUAUCUUUUUGUCCUAUUUGCUGCUAAUGAUUUGUAGCAAGAGUUGAUUUUUAACUGUUUCUAAUUGGUAAUGGAUUAAAGGAAGUUCAUUUACUAUUAGAGGUGCAUGUGAAAGUAAGCUUGAUUCGUAACCUCGUCGAGCAUUUGGAGCUCGCUUUGACUGAGGUUUUUCGAUUUGAUGUGAUGGCGUAUAAGCUUUUCUCAGUUUCUCGGUCAUUUUAAGGGUGACCAAGAUUAUCUCUGUGAGCAAUGUUGAGGUUAGGGAUUGGAAGUAAAUGAAAAGGGGUGUCUUUUCAUCAAAGGCUGAGGCCAAGAUUAUCUUUUGAGAAAACUUUGAGGCCUUACCUAGAUUGCAAGUCUCUGUUAAGUUCCAAUUGACGAAGAUGUUUAAAACUGUUGAAAUUAUACUGCCUUAAUUGAAAGGAGGCCUUACCUAGGAUAAUAUCUAGCUCAUUCGGGGUCUUUUUUUGGUUCUUUAACUACAUGAAAUUUGCAUUGAGAUGAAUUCUUAUCCUGAAUGAGUACAUGUGAGAAUCACGCGUGAUUGACGGAAAAUUAUGAAAUAAGAUAAUGAAUUCCGAAGGCUGGGUGCUCAGCUGGAGAUGCGGAUAAACAAAGAAUUAUAUGUUGAUUUGAAAAGGAAGACGUUUAUAUUGUUGAUUGGAGUAUAUAUGGCCGAUGAGAAUAUGCUAAACCGAUAGUUGCUCCUUGUAGGUUGCGGGGGAAGUGGUAACAUUAUGUGUUCAGAAUGUGGUGGCCGCGGGUAUCUAAGAUGACCAUACCGGUUCGCUUAUCUUCCUUGAAUUUGUUGUAUGUGCAAGUAACUUGUGUUAUAGCCAUGACGCUUUCCCUAAUUUUUUGUGGCUGAUUCCACGAUGAGUUAAGUGUAACAGUAAUGCAUCUGAUUCAUUUACUCUUCGAAAUGGUGUUCUUCCUCAGAUUUAUGUGCCAUUUAUCGUGUUGAAUGUUCAGAACCAUACAAUUACCACAUAACAAACACAAAGGAAACGAAAAAACUUGAAACAAAAGUUGACAAACAAACAACCAACGACAUAAGAAAACAGACUGCAUACUUUUAUUUAGACCAUUUUUAGUACCCUCAAAACUAAUUGGCAAGUUAGUUAAUCCCCAUGAGUGACAAUGCUGUCCAUAUUCUUGGCAACUACCUCCUUAGAAUCCCUCAGUUUUCUUAUGCUUUUGUUAAGCUUCUCACGCUUUACUGCCACUGCCGGGGACUCCUCCAACAUCCUCUCAAUUCCCCCACCGUAUGGUCCCAUCAACUCAUUCACAAUCUCAGCUUCCAUCUCUUUGUUCACAAGGUUGAAAACAGACAGCUGCAAGUGCAAUGCCAUGGAGUCCACAAGCCUCCUCAAAACAACCUUCCAAUAGGCAAUCAUUCUCAUUUUAAGGUCAUAAGCUUGAGCUAAAACAUGCGGGUACUUCCUCAGAACACCGACUUCGACUUCCCCGAUGCCUUCUAUAGCUAUGACAGACGGUUUCUUCCCAUCAGUUAAGACUCCUUGAAUGAAUUCGUUUUGACUAGCCAUCAACUUGUUCCAUUCGGAAACAUAAUCAGCAUCGCAUGUAUAAUCUGUCACCUUUUCCAUCUCUACAAGCUCCAGCAUCCACUUGAUUGACCUUUCCUUCAUCUUGGCCAUUAGAUUAUGGCCGGCACGCCUUGCUGACAGCUGCAGCUGAUAAUAGUUCUCCGAAUUACGCAUCAAGACAGAAAUAACCGCCUCUUCAAUGUAGAUCCACACUCGUUCCACAAAUGCAAUCGGAAUACUUGAAAUUCCAUUCACUUUUCUCUGCAAGAUAAUGUGGAAAGCAUUGCGCGGAAGAAAGUUCGGAAGUGAAAUACCUUUGUUCUCCUCCAAGAUCUUGAUUUCCUCCAUCAAGAAGUUGCUCUUUGCAUCACUUUCAGGACAUCUGUGAAGUUCAUCCGAGUACUGGUUGAGCAUCUCAACCAAUCUAGCAGUGCAGUGCAUGCGGUUGUCUUCCGCGUACUCCUCAAAUUCUCCUCUCAAAAGGAUCUUCCUAAGCGAUUCCUUAGCCAAGCCAAUGAUUUGCAUAAAGGCCGUCAUGGCCUCAGCAACAGACGAAAGACUCUUGGGCAUUUUAUUCAGUUCCAUAAUGCAAAAAUUCAGCCUGUCAUUGAUCUUCUUCACUAUAUCGGGUAAAUUUUUUGCCAUGCUGUUUGGGCAUUUUAUUCAGUAGUCAAGGUAACGUUCUGCUAUGGUUAACCACCCGUAAGGGUCCUCGCCAUUAAAUCAUGGCAGUUCCAUUUUAAUAGCUUUAAAAUGUGAAUGAGGGUUCUAGGGAGGUGGGUUGGGUAAUAUGGGAAGGGAGGGUGGUGAGGAGUUGGGUGCCGUGGAGGGACUUAAGUGGAAGGAUUGUGAGUGUGAUAAAUGGUAGGGUUGGGGCUGUAGCGGUGGGAAUGGGGGUGGGUGAAGUGGUGGUGGUGUAAGUGGAAAAUGGGGCUAAGCUCGGGGAGAGUGGGUAGGAAAUGCCCAGACUUGAGGAUUGAGCACUGAAAGGCACAAAAAUUAAACGAAAUCAAGGGGAUGGGUUAAGGUUAGAGGGACGAGGACCGAGAAAUGAAGUGGUCUGGUGUUGAGGUUGAAUGGGGGUUGAAGAGGGGUUGGGUGUGUGGUGGGUGGCGGUGUGGGUGGAGGUUUGGGAGGGUGGAGGCCCCGAUUUGAGGAUUCGAAGUUCGCCAAGCAUUAGGGAUUGAAAAGCUGCAAACUGUGAGGUUAUAUUGUUUUGAAAAGCUGUGUUGGAGGUGUUCAAGGUUUCGAGAGAUUUCUGGAGGUGGGUUUGUUGUGUUUCCAGGGCGAAGAUUGAGUCACACAAGUCAUCAACUUGAGUUCGCAGGUAUUUUUGACGAACAUCAACCGCAACAGUGACGGCGUCUGGAUCAGAGGUGGCGGACUGCAUGUUUUUGCCCAUUAAAUCGACGGGCUCUGAUACCAAUUGGUAUGCCCAAUCGGUUCAGGUUGGCUGAAAAUGGCAACUUUAAUACAAAAUAGUGCAGGAAUUUAAAAGAAGAAAGGGAAAGAAGAGUUUGAGAAAAAAGAGGCAACUUUAAUUCAUCAUUUCAUAGGUUCUUUCUACUCUCCUUUGUUACAAAUUUAUACUCCUCAUAAAAGGAAAAAACCCUAGCUACUUGGACGUAAGGAAAGAAGGCUGGUACGGCCCGGUUACAAGAGGAGAAGUAGUGGACUCAAGUAAAUGGGCUUAACAUGGUGUCGUUGGGGCCCCACCAUCAAAGAAAAAGCAGUUCCAUGGGCAUCCAAGAGGAAAGAGAACCCACAAUAGUAUAAAGAUUUUGCGUCACACUCAUCGCUUCGGCAUCAAUCCUUUUCCCUCCUUGCCGAUGUUCUUUAUAUUUUACUUUCUUUCUUCAUAAGUUGUUUGUAGAUGACAUGUUCUGAGAAUCUCUUGGGUGUCGUAUGCGUGCUACAAUACUCGUUUGUGUCAAAACACACAUAAACAUUAUUCUUUCCGUUGAGAUUUAAAAUUAAAAGUCUAUAGACACUUUUUGGUGAACUCGAAUUAAGGAAUUCUCAUUUUAUGUGUUAAGUUUUAUGCGGAUGAGUUAAGUGAUACAAAUUCAAAAAUUACUCUACAUUUUAAGCUGUUGUUUUUUUUUAACAUUUAUAAGCACAUAUAACUGAACUAGGACGCCACACAACAAUAAACCAAUUUUGUAUAAAUCAUUGUUACUUGGAGAUUAAGAUUAUGGCACCAUGAAAUAUUAAAUAGUUUUGCAAGAAAAAAAAGAACGUGGGAAAGAUGACAGGGCUAAAACAAUUGAGACUACAAUUUAGGACGCAUUGUACCACAUCUUUAAAAAAAGGUGGAAUUUUCUUAUAUUAGUGAACCCUACUUUUAUUAAAUAGUUUUCAAUGUAAUUUAGUAAAGUAUAGCCUCUCUAGCAUGAUAAGCCUAUGAGUAAUUAGCAUUUGUAGACAUCAAAUGCUAAUGAGAAAAAAAAAAAUCUAAUUUCAUCCUAUCCACCUCUAUUAUAACAUUUAUGUUUCAAUGCAUAUACUAAUGAUCAAAAUUCAAAUUUCAAUUGUAGAACUGAACAAAAUUAAAUAUUGGUAACAAAGCAAUAACAUCUGAGCUGUGAAAGCAAAGAGAAAAGUACCACGAUAUAAGAACUUGCGUCACAAUCAAAGCUUCAACAUCAAUCUGUCCCUCCUUGCCAAUGUGCUUUACAUUUUUUUUUUUACUUUCUUCAAAUUUGUUUGUAGAUCACAUUCUUUGAGAAAAUUUUUAGUUCACUAGUUUUGUCACGUCACUUGUUCUUUUAAAAAAAAAAAGAUUCUUUCGCAUCAUCAGUUCAUCACACUACAAUCAUGACUUUAUUGGAUGGAUAACAAUAACAAAAACAAAGUCUUAUUCUAAUAAGUGAGGUCGGCUAUAUAAAAUGUCACUGCAUUCAGUUUUGCUUCAUGUUCAUUAGAUGAAUAAUACAAUUUUUUCAAUACAUGACCAACUUUACAAAUAUUUUUGGGAAGUAACAUUUACACAAAUUAUUUAGCUUCUUUUUUUUUUUUUUGACAAUUGUGUGAGAAACUAAAAAAAGUGAAAAUAAAAUCUACGACGCUAUUGGAACUAAUUUUUUAUUACAUAAAAAAGUCCCUCUGCCUAGUAAAAGGAGGAGAAUGUGACAUGAUUGCUUUUAUUCAAUCCACAUUCUCCCCCACUUGACCAUUUCAUGAGAAAGGAUCAUCCUCAAAUUCCUUCCAUCAAAUUCUUCCAAUUAACAAAUCUGGACCCUAAAAAUUUAAUUUAACGAUUAAAGUUAGUAUAACUUUUUAAAGAGAUCUCAUGUUUUUAACCGUUUGAUCAAAUUUUAAAUGCUUAAAUUUGUUGAUUGGUUAGAUUUGGUAAAAGGGAUUCGGAGAGGAUCCCUUCCCAUUUCAUAAGUUGUCUAAAUGCUUUUGAUUCCUUUUUCAAAUUGAUGCUAGGCCCAAGAAACAAAGCAACACUAGACUAGACUAAAAACAACUGCCGUACGUUUGCCAAAAAAAACUAAUAACAACUGCCGUACAAAAGCAAGAUAAAAAGAGAUACAAGGGAGAACAUUCUCCCCCACUUGACCAUUUCAUCAACAAUGUUGUCUAAAUGCUUUUUAUUCCUUUUUCAAUUUGAUGCUAGGCCCAAGAAACAAGGCAACACUAGACUAAAAACAAUUGCCGUACAAAAGCAAGAUAAAAAGGCAUACAAAGGAGAACAUAUAUAUAUAUAUGUGUGUGUGUGUGGGUAUGUAUAGAUCAGUUAAAAUGAUAACCUUUCUUAGAUAGAACUGAGCAUAUAAACCAGCAAAGGUAAUAUUAGGGAAAUCAAAAUUUUCAACCAAAUGAUGUGUCAUUAAUAGGAAAUAAGCACGUUAAUCAACACAAAAAUAAUAAUUCAAUCAUCAACAACCACAUCAUUUGGUUUGCAAAUUUGGUUUAAAAAAUUUAGUCUCUCUAGAAUUAUCCAACCGGCAAACAAGUUUAAUUAUCUUAGACAAGUAACACUAUUUACGUAUUUAUUUUCAGGCAAUUACAACUUUGACAUCAAAAAGAAGAUUUAAGGAAGAUGAUUUUCUUAUCAGUUAGAAUUUCUACAAUGCGUGUCUCAUUAUUUACCUAAAUAAAUUUUUAUGUCUGUCAAAUUGGUCAUGAAAGCUCACUAUCAUAUUAAUAAGCGGUAAUGAAAGCAGAUAACAUGAGACAAAAAAUAGGAGUUAACUGUAUGUAGGAGGAAAUCGCAUUUAAAUUUCAUUAAAAACAUUAAACUUGACAUGGAUUACCACAACCAUACGACUACGGACCAUCACACAACAAGAACACAAAGGGAACAAAAGAACUUAAAAACAAAAGUUGACAAACAAACAACCACCCACAUCAGACAACAGAAAGCUAAUUGCCAAGUUAGUUAAUCACCAUAAGUGAUAAUGCUGUCCAUAAUCUUGGCCACCACCUCCUUCGAAUCCCUCAGUUUUUUUAUGCUUUUGUUAAGCUUCUCACGCUUUACUGCCACUGCCGGCGACUCCUCCAACAUCCUCUCAAUUCCCCCACCGUAUGGUCCCAUCAACUCAUUCACAAUCUCAGCUUCCAUCUCUUUGUUCACAAGGUUGAAAACAGACCGCUGCAAGUGCAAUGCCAUGUAGUCCACAAGCCUCCUCAAAACAACCUUCCAAUAGGCAAUCAUUCUCAUUUUAAGGUCAUAAGCUUGAGCUAACACAUGCGGGAACUUCCCCAGAACACCGACUUCAACUUCCCCGAUGCCUUCUAUAGUUAUGAUAGAAGGUUUUUUCUCGUCAGUUAAGACUCCAUGAAUGAAUUGAUUUUGACUAGCCAUCAACUUGUUCCAUUCUGAAACAUAAUCACCAUCACAUGUAUAAUCCGUCAGCUUUUCCAUCUCUACAAGCUCCAGCACCCACUUGAUUGACCUUUCCUUCAUCUUGGCCAUUAGAUUAUGGCCGGCACGCCCGGCUGACAGCCGCAGCUGACGAUAGUUCUCC